rnacentral:lncRNA from 1 species
AAUCCCAUUCCUACCUUGAUUGGGGAUGUUUAUUAUUCGGUCCAUAAUCGGAACGAGAAGCGACGUGGAGGAUUGGUUAGAUGUUGUGCUCAAUUGUUAUAUAAGUGGUUCGUGGGAUAUUUGCCUUCCAAGGGUGCCUUUGUCUUUCUUGACCAUACUGUAAAUUGGGCAACCAAGUUGAUGGGUUUGCGAGCCAAGGACAUGGCUUGGACUCACAUUGAUGUGGCUGGGCGAGAUUUUAUUUACAGCUGCGGGAGUUUUCCCAACGUGCCCCUUAUAGGAGUUCAAGGGUGUAUUAAUUAUAACCCAACGCUUCUUAAGAGACAAAUGGGAUUUUUUAUGGAGGUUCCUCCCCUCGAGCGUGAGAUUCAAGAGUCUUUCUACUUCCCGGUUGAGGGUAAUCAGUCAUUGUUGGGACAAGUGUCUGAUGCAUGGCGCAACAUUCAAAGGAAAGGCAAUAUUCCUUUUGGUAGAGCUAAUAACAGGUCUUUUCCUCCAUUUGAUGAUUGGCUCAGAAAGAGGGUUGAACUCACUCGUCUGCCAUUUCCUGUGAGUGAUCUUUGGUAUCCGUUGAUUGAGGAGCCACGCUCUUCUGUCAGUAUGGAAGAAUUUCUUGAGAUGAGGAGGGCAAGAGAUCAACUGCAAGCAGAGAAGACUGAAAUAGAAAUGAGUGUUGCUAGAAUUCAAUUGGCUAAUUAGGAAGUCAAGAGGAAAGCAAAAGACCAGGCUAAGAGACAUGCUCAGGAGGUGAAGCAUUUUGAGAAAGACACCGCCUAUUACUGUAAGAUCAACCAAGCUUUAAAGUCAUCUACGAAUGAGCACGACCUUACCAAAGAACAGUUGGCUAGAGCUUUGAAGGUCACUGAAGAUGAAAAGAAGAGACAAGUCCUUAUGAAGACUCAGAGGGAAGCUAGAGCCAAAGCCCUUACCGCAGAGUGGGAAGUGAAGCUGAGGGUUAAGGAAGAAGAGAAAGCGAAGAUUAUGGCCGAGAGAGAUCACUAUCUAGCUGAGAGGGACCAUUAUUUCCGUCAGAUGAAGAUUCAUCAGAAAGAGGUGGGAAGACUUCAGCAGGAGAACACUGAGCUCAGGUUCACUACGAAGUUUACCGGGAUGGUUGAUGAUGCAGAGCCUUCUGUGGGACCUUCUUCAGAUUAGACUUUUAUUGCAGUUUUUAUCAUGUGUUGGGUUACCGUUAGGCAUGUUGACGGAAUUCACUUGCUCGUAUUUCUUUCCGAUUCUGGAGGAUUGUAAAGUUGAUUUGUAUCAGAUAUGAUAUAUGACUCUCGCACGUGUUGUGCACUUUUUCUAUACAGUGGUUAUUAUCAUUCAGUGAUUGAUCUUAAAGCUUUAUUUGCUUUUCCGUGUUACACUUACGUAGCACACACAUGGUCAGGUAAUAUCUUUGCUAAUGCACAACUUUCUGUUCCGUACGGCAAAGCCAGAUGAUUGAUGUCAGAAUGUUGUUGUCGAAUUAUUAUCCGUCUCGAUGAAGCCAGGAUCGAAGGACAAAAUGUUCCUCAUACGGAUAGACAUUGCAUUCAGGCAUGAAUCAUAAUAACUUGUCCUCUAUUUUGCAGGUGUCGGUUUCUAACAUGUUUGAGUGUUACAGGAAUCAUUGCUCGCUCACGCAGAGUCAUCCCUCUGCACGUAGCUCGUCCGCACAGAUACUUUACCAGACACAACAAACCCAGAAUGAUGGAUCCAUCCAACGCUAACAUUCUCGAGCUGAAAGAGAAGAUGAGUGAGUUGAUCAACGCCAUGCAAGGGUUCGCCCUGGGGCAGAAAGCAAUCGCCGAGAAGGUGGAGAAGCUUGAGUUGGCUUCGAUUGCCAAUAGUGGAAAUAAUCAAGAGGGUAACUCCAACAAUGGUCCUGGUGGUUUUAGGGAUGAUGGCGAUCCCAGAAAGAAGGCAACUAAUGGUGGUGUAGUCAUCAACAAUGGUGGUGGUCUUGGUUUUGCUGUAGGUAGUGGCCCAGGUCAUGUUGGCAACACUCCGAAGGAAAUUCAGUUUUCUCCUUUCUUUGGGGUUGUGGAGGAUAAAGAAGAGGAUCAGUUCUCUAUGCUGAAUGAGCAGUUCGGUCAGUAUGGUGUUCAACCGCCGAACAAAGAGAUUCAGGUACUAGCAGAAAAGAUUAGGGCUCUGGAAAGCCAUACCACUCCUGGGACUAUUAACAUGACAAAUAUGGGGCUGGUUGAGGGGAUUGUGAUCCCACAGAAGUUCAAGGUGCCCACGUUUGAUAAGUACAAUGGAAGUUCUUGCCCGGAAACUCAUCUUCAGGCCUUUGUUCGAAAGAUAUCUGCCUACACCAUGGAUCAGAAGCUAUGGAUGUACUUUUUCUAGGAUAACUUAUCUGGCGGGUCUCUCGAGUGGUACACCAAGCUGAGAUCGUUAGAUAUAAAGAGCUGGCAGGAUUUGGGGGAUGCUUUCUUCAAACAGUACCAAUUUAACGCUGACAAGGCACCAAGCCGUACCCAGUUGCAAGGUAUGUCUCAAAAGCCGAACGAGGGGUUUAAAGAGUAUGCACAAAGGUGGAGAGAGUUGGCUGCCAGGGUUCAACCCCCAUUGGUGGAUCUGGAGAUGUCAGACUUGUUCAUGGGUACUCUUCAGGGGAUUUUUGCUGAGAGGAUGGUGGGAUGUCCAGUUACUGGUUUUGCGGAUAUAGUAGUGGCUGGUGAGAGGAUUGAAAGCUGGUUGAAAAUGACUCUUCAGGGGAUUUUUGCUGAGAGGAUGGUGGGAUGUCCAGUUACUGGUUUUGCGGAUAUAGUAGUGGCUGGUGAGAGGAUUGAAAGCUGGUUGAAAAUGGGAAAAAUACAAGGAAAUGCUCCAUCAUCUGGAUUGAAGAAGCCCUUCAGAAAUGGUCAGCGCAAGAAAGAGGGUGACUCGAGUGUUGUGUAUGCCCAAAGAGGACACGGUAGGGAUCAUUACUACCAGCAUACUGCUGCAAUAACAAUUCCUGUUGGUAAUCAACCCGCACAACAACAACAACAACAACCUCAGCAGAAAACACAAAGGGCUGGGUACCAAGUUAGGGGAAGGAUGGCAGAUCGCCAGUUUGAUAGGCCACCCAUGACAUAUGCCAUUCUGUUGAAGAAGUUGAAGGAUCUCGGGUUGGUACAAUUGAGGACGUUAGCUCCGUUAAGACCAGAUCAGAGGCCUGCAAGUUAUGAUGAGAACGUCAAGUGUGAGUUCCAUUCUGGUGCUCCCGGGCACAAUAUUGAGGGUUGUAAAGCUUUUAAGCAUGUUGUUCAAGACUUGGUGGAUUCCAAAGCCAUCAAUUUUGCACCAACGCCGAAUGUCAAUGCUAAUCCCAUGCUGACGCAUGGUCAGAUGACGGUGAAUGUAAUUUCUGAGGAUAAAAGUAAAAUCGGGGUGACGGAUGUGGAUCAGUUGAGGACCCCAAUGUCUGUGGUCAAGAGUCAUUUGUACUAAUCCCAUGCUGACGCAUGGUCAGAUGACGGUGAAUGUAAUUUCUGAGGAUAAAAGUAAAAUCGGGGUGACGGAUGUGGAUCAGUUGAGGACCCCAAUGUCUGUGGUCAAGAGUCAUUUGUUAAAAAACAGAGUUUUUCCUGGUUGUGGUAAUUAUUGUGCCGCUUGUACUGUAACUGCAAAUGGGUGUGUAAUAUUGAGGGAGACGGUUCAGAAAAUGAUGGAUGAGGGAAGUCUCCGAUUCGAGAAAGUUGCUUUGGAGAAUGAGGAUAUUUCAACGAUAACCAUUUAUUUCGAUCCUGUCCACUUGUCAGUGCCGGCAGAUGUGGUUCCAAUUACCAUUACGGUACCUGGACCUAUUCCGUAUGAAAGUGAUGGUGUUGUGCCAUGGGACUAUGGUGGUGAUGUGUAUUGCAAUGGGGAAAAGAAGGAAGCUCAGGUUGCAGUUGAUACCACCGUUUCAAGGGUGGACAAUGACGGGCUUAGUGGUUUCACUCGCAGCGGGAGGUUGUUUGCACCUAACACGUUGAGAGGUGGUGAUGUAGAAAAAGAACAGAGAAAUAAGGCUGACGCUUUAGCCAGGGUAAAAGGAAAGCAGGUGGUGAAUGAGGAUACUCCUAGAGCGGCACAGGCGCCUGUCGAGCCGGAAAGUGAGUUUGAUGCUGAAGCCGAGGAGUUUUUGAGAAUUAUUAAGAAGUCUGAGUAUAAACUUGUUGAUCAUUUACAGCAGACUCCGUCCAAAAUUUCGAUCUUAUCUUUGCUGUUGAGUUCAGAAGGUCAUAGAGAUGCUUUGUUAAAGAUCUUGAAGAGGGCCUACGUCCCGCAGGAGAUUACAGUCAAUCAAUUAGAGACAGUGGUAUCAAGUGUUAACGCCAAUCAUGGGUUGGGUUUCACUGAUCUCGAUCUUACUAUGGACGGGCGCAAUCACAGUAAGGCACUACACAUUUCGAUGGAGUGUAAAGGAGCUGUGCUUUCGCAUGUUUUGGUUGAUACGGGCUCGUCACUCAAUGUGUUGCCUAAGAAGGCCUUGGCUAAACUGGACUGCGAGGGAUUGAUUUUGAGGCCUACUGAUUUGGCGGCUAGAGCGUUUGAUGGCUCUAAAAGGGCUGUGUUUGGGGAAGUUGAGCUCCUUGUAAAGAUUGGUCCUGAGGUGUUCAAAUCUGUGUUUUGUGUCAUGGACAUUCAGCCGGCGUACAACUGUUUGUUGGGUCGUCCAUGGAUACAUGUUGUUGGGGCAGUAACAUCGACUCUGCAUCAGAAGUUAAAGUAUAUCUUGGACGGGCAAGUCGUGACAGUUUGCGGUGAGAAGGAUAUUUUUGUCAGCCAGUUGUCAUCAUUUAAGUAUGUGGAAAUGGACGAUGAGAUAUUCGAAGCACCAAGCCAGGCGUUUGAAACCGUCAAGGUGGAAAAUGUCGUUUUCGCCGAAAGAGAGAAAAAGCCGUCCAUUACUUCUUAUAAACAGGCGGUAGAGGUGGUGAAAAGUGGAGAGGCCCCAGGUUGGGGAAGAGUGAUAGAUGUUGGGGUAAAGGAGGAUAAGUUUGGGAUUGGUUAUCAGUCAGGCCAAGGCUCGUCUGGACAGAAUAAAGGUCGUCACCAACCAUUCAUAUUCACCAGUGCUGGAAUGCUAGAUCCAGGUCGUAUCUGUGUUGUGGGUGAAGAGACUGACAGUGACUGCGAGCUCGACUCGUGGAUAAAACCGUGCGUACCAGGAAUGGAGAUCCAGAACUGGAAAGCCGAAAAGAUCAUCACUGUCACUCUGCGUGAAGAGUAAUAUUUCUGUUUGUUAAUUCUGUUUGCAUGAAAGCCAUACGUUUUGCCCGAAACGUAAUGGUCCAUUGUAAGGGCCACCUCAUGUGUUUUAUUUUGCAGUAUUUGAAUCAUUAAUAAACGGAUGUUUUUCGCAUUAAAAGCGGUGUUCUCUGUUUUGCAUUUAUUUUUGCAGUUAAAAAAUAAUAUAAUAAAAAUGGCAAUGUUUAUUUUCAUUUUCCUUCCUUUUAAUUUUUCUCGUUCCGACUCUAAAGCACCGCAUGAAUCAACAUUCAUGCAGAUGCGAUUAUUCUCCGGAUCUCAUUGAUAACAAUUCUGUUACACCCCUAUAUGACUUCGACAACCCGAUCUAUCAUGCCGAAGACGAAGGCGAAGAAGAUUGUGAACUGCCAGAAGAGUUAGCCAGGUUGUUGAAACAAGAGGAGAAGGUGAUUCAGCCACACGAGGAGCAAGUUGAGAUUGUUAAUAUGCGCACCGAGGAGGUCAGAAAGGAGGUAAAAAUUGGGGCCGCUUUGGAGAUGAAUGUCAAGAGCAGAAUGGUAGCACUGUUGAAAGAGUAUGUUGAUAUCUUCGCCUGGUCUUAUCAAGAUAUGCCGGGGUUGGAUACCAAUAUUGUUGUACACAAGUUGCCAUUGAGAGAAGAUUGUCCUCCAGUAAAGCAGAAGUUGCGCAGAACUCGACCCGAGAUGGCCAUGAAAAUCAAAGAGGAGGUACAAAAGCAGUUGGAUGCCGGUUUCCUAGCUGUCACUAAUUAUCCGCCUUGGGUCGCGAACAUUGUGCCAGUACCGAAGAAGGAUGGAAAGGUGAGGAUGUGUGUGUACUACCGGGAUUUGAACAGAGCUAGCCCGAAAGAUGAUUUCCCAUUACCUCACAUCGAUGUGUUGGUAGAUAAUACAACUCAAUUCUCGGUGUUUUCCUUCAUGGAUGGCUUUUCUGGCUAUAAUCAAAUUAAAAUGUCGCCAGAUGAUAUGGAGAAAACAACGUUCAUCACACCAUGGGGCACUUUUUGUUAUAAGGUGAUGCCAUUCGGUCUCAAGAACGCCGGUGCCACGUAUCAAAGAGCUAUGGUGACCUUGUUUCAUGAUAUGAUUCAUCAUGAGAUCGAAUGCUAUGUUGAUGACAUGAUAGCGAAGUCCCAAACAGAAGAGGGGCAUCUGGUAGACUUGGCCAAGUUGUUUGACCGGUUGAGACAAUUCAAAUUGAGGUUGAAUCUGAAUAAGUGCACUUUUGGAGUGCGGUCCGGCAAGUUGCUGGGGUUUAUUGUAAGUGAAAGAGGAAUCGAGGUUGAUCCUGCUAAAGUAAAAGCGAUACAAGAAAUGCCUGAACCGAGGAUAGAAAAGGAGAUUCGUGGUUUCUUAGGUAGAUUGAACUACAUUUCACGGUUCAUAUCUCAUCUAACAGCCACGUGUGAACCCAUAUUCAAGUUGUUGAGAAAAGAUCAAACGGUCAGGUGGAAUGAUGAUUGCCAAGCGGCAUUUGAAAAAAUAAAAUAAUAUUUGUAGGAGCAUCCGAUUUUGAUGCCUCCUGUGGAGGGGCGACCGUUAAUCCUGUACUUGACAGUCCUUGAGGGGUUUAUGGGGUGUGUACUGGGGCAGCAUGACGAGUCUGGUCGAAAAGAGCAUGCAAUUUACUACCUUAGCAAAAAGUUUACCGACUGUGAAACAAGAUAUUCACUGCUCGAGAAAACUUGUUGCGUUUUGGCAUGGGCUGCUCGCCGACUGAGACAGUAUAUGCUGGUUCAUACCACUUUGUUGAUUUCCAAUAUGGAUCUGAUCAAGUAUAUAUUUGAGAAGCCAGCAUUGACCGGACGGGUUGCGAGAUGGCAAAUGAUUUUGACUGAAUACGAUAUCCAGUACACUUCUCAAAAAGCAAUAAAGGGGAGUGUAUUGUCUGAUUACCUCGCCCAACAACCCAUUGAGGAUUAUCAACCGAUGAAAUUUGAGUUCCCUGAUGAGGACAUCAUGUUUCUCAAAUCGAAAGAUUGUGAGGAACCUAUCCCGGAGGAGGGGCCUGACCCUGAGUCCGAAUGGAUUCUGAUGUUUGAUGGGGCCGUUAACGUGAAUGGUAGCGGAGUUGGUGCUGUUUUGGUUACGCCGAAGGGAUCCCACAUUCCUUUUGCUGCCCGACUAACAUUUGAGUGCACCAACAAUGUGGCUGAAUACGAAGCUUGUAUCUUGGGUGUCGAAGAGGCGAUUGAUCUGCGAAUCAAGAACCUUGUUAUUUAUGGAGAUUCAACUUUGGUUGUGAACCAGGUUAAUGGGAAAUGGCUUACGCAUCAAUUCCAUUUAAUUCCAUAUCGGGAUUAUACGAGGAGAUUGUUGACGUUCUUCACCAAGGUGGAAUUACGCCAUGUGCUGAGGGAAGAAAAUCCUUUAGCAGAUGUAUUGGCUACUCGGGCCGCUUUGAUUAAAGUGCAGUGGUGGAAUCAAGUUCCUAGUGUUGAGGUGGGACGGCUGGAUAGACCGGAUUAUGUGAAUAUCUUGUUGCGAGAUGGAAAAUGAUUUUGACUGAAUACGAUAUCCAGUACACUUCUCAAAAAGCAAUAAAGGGGAGUGUAUUGUCUGAUUACCUCGCCCAGCAACCCAUUGAGGAUUAUCAACCGAUGAAAUUUGAGUUCCCCGAUGAGGACAUCAUGUUUCUCAAAUCGAAAGAUUGUGAGGAACCUAUCCCGGAGGAGGGGCCUGACCCUGAGUCCGAAUGGAUUCUGAUGUUUGAUGGGGCCGUUAACGUGAAUGGUAGCGGAGUUGGUGCUGUUUUAGUUACGCCGAAGGGAUCCCACAUUCCUUUUGCUACCCGACUAACAUUUGAAUGCACCAACAAUGUGGCUGAAUACGAAGCUUGUAUCUUGGGUGUCGAAGAGGCGAUUGAUCUGCGAAUAAAGAACCUUAUUAUUUAUGGAGAUUCAGCUUUGGUUAUGAACCAGGUUAAUAGGAAAUGGCUUACGAAUCAAUCCCAUUUAAUUCCAUACCGGGAUUAUACGAGGAGAUUGUUGACGUUCUUCACCAAGGUGGAAUUACGCCAUGUGCCGAGGGAAGAAAAUCCUUUAGCAAAUGCAUUGGCUAUUCUGGCCGCUUUGAUUAAAGUGCAGUGGUGGAAUCAAGUUCCUAGUGUUGAGGUGGGACGGCUGGAUAGACCGGAUUAUGUGUUUGUUGUCGAAACAGUGCCUGAUGAUGAGAAGCCGUGGUAUUAUGACAUCAAGCGUUAUCUGGAGACCCAAGAGUAUCCCGAGGGAGCAUCUAAGAAGGACCGAAAGACUCUGAGGAGGUUGGCCAUGGCGUUCUAUCUGAAUAAAGAUGGGGUUUUGUACAAGAGGAUUUUUGAUUGGGUUUUGCUCAGAUGUGUCGAUGAACAAGAAGAAGCAAUUGAUGAAAGAGGUGCACGAGGGGUCGUUUGGUUACCCCGCAGUGGAUGCGAUGGUGAAAGGUUCUAAGGGCUGGAUAUUACUGGAUGACAAUGGAGGUCGUGUUCACUUCGUGCGGAAUGUUUAAUGCAGAUUUAUGCUGACAAGGUGCACGUGCCUCCAAAUCCGUUGAGUUUGAUGUCGUCUCCGUGGCCGUUUGCUAUGUGGGGCAUUGAUAUGAUCAGAAAGAUCGAGCCUACGGCUUCGAAUGGGCACCGGUUCAUAUUAGUGGCUAUUGAUUACUUCACCAAGUGGGUGGAAGUGGCGUCUUAUGCAAACGUGACGAAACAGGUCGUGGCUAGGUUCCUGAAAAGGGAUAUCAUUUGCAAAUAUGGGGUUCCCGAAAGAAUCAUCACUGAUAACGGUUCUAAUCUCAACAACAAGAUGAUGGUAGAACUGUGCCGAGAGUUCAAGAUCGAGCAUCACAAUUAUUCUCCUUAUCGUCCAAAGAUGAAUGGGGUGGUCGAGGCAGCUAAUAAGAAUAUUAAGAAGAUUGCGCAAAAAAUGGUCGUGACCUAUAAGGAUUGGCACGAGAUGUUGCCGUUUGCAUUGCAUGGGUAUCGAACCUCAGUGCGUACAUCUACCGGAGCAACACCUUUCUCGCUUGUGUAUGGGAUGGAAGUUGUGCUACCAGUUGAGGUCCAGAUUCCGUCAUUGAGAGUCCUGAUGGAUGUGAAAUUGGAAGAGGCUGAAUGGGUAAGGACUCGGUAUGAAGGUUGAGCCUGAUUGAGGAAAGGGCUGGCGGCCAUUUGUCAUGGGCAGUGUACGCAGCGUAUGAAGCGUGCAUUUUGUCCGAAGGGUGUGACCUCGUCUGUAUCAUGUGGGAUGAUAUGGUGUUGAAAAGGACCCUCUCCUCAGGAACGAUCGUCGCGAGGCAAGUGGACACCAAUUAUGAAGGUCCAAUUCGUGUGUCAGAUUUCUCUGGCGGAGCCUUGUUGUUGACGACCAUGGAUGGUGAGGAUUUUCCAUCCCCUGUGAAUGCGGACGCAGUUAAAAAAUACUUCGUAUAAGAGACCCGCUGGACAGAAGGAAUAAAAUAGUCCAGGCAAAAAUGGGCAUCCCGGCGAACCAAAAAAAAAUGAAAAUGAAAAAGGUUCGGGCAAAAAUUAGGGAUAAAAAGAAAAACUGUACACCCGGCAGGUCGAAAACCCCACAAGGGCGGCUUGGGAAAAAAAGGGUAUCCCGGUGGACUGAAAACCCGAAAGGGUGGUCCAGGAAAAAGAGGGAGUGAAACGAACAACUGCGUCUAGCAUGGUCGUUUGUACUUUGUAUUUGACACAUAGAUAAUCUAAAAGCGGAGAUCGGUCGGAAACGUCUUGUUUCGGAAGGCAGAAAGCGCAGAGAGUCUUGAGGACAUAUGGGUUGUAACCGGGUUGGAACUUGAUGAGAUCACGGGUUCACAUUGCCAUUAGGAUAGAUUUUCCUUUUGUGCGUAAUUACCUCUUUUCAGGGAUUGCUUCCUGUGUACUGCUCAGUUACGAGCCACCUUUUCCAAUCAAUAAAAUGCAUAUUCAGUCAAAUAAUUUUGUUUUUGUUUUCAUCACCGCUUUGAUUGCAAAAAAAUCUGUUUAUUUUGAUAAGAAUCUUUGCAUUUUGAGAUGUAGGGGUCUCUUCCAAUGCAUGUUUAGAGGAUUGAAACUUGAAAUCUUAUUCGGAAGGUAGAGUGACCUGGGUGUUCAAAUUUUGGCUCGCCUGGGGCACGUUUUAUCUGACGAUCUCUUUUGCAGGUACUGUUGGUUAUUUUCACUCACUUGCAGGUCGUGGCGCGAAGCAUUUCUUUUUGACAGAAGAUUCCUUUGAGGUCCAAUCAGGGACAAGGAAUUGAAGAAUGGUGUAGAGACGGCGAAAGAAUUGUGACGAUCCUAGAGGGUUAAUCAAGAAGACUCUUCAAAGUCUGAAGACUGGAGAGUUGGCAUGCAUCUAAGGAGGUCGAUUUUCUUGAAGUAGGGAGAAGUCGAGAGUACAAGGUGGUGAAUCGAAAAAGACCGGAUGAGUUUGGGAGCUCUCAAAAGUGGAAAGUUGACAUUGUGGUUAGAUGGUGAGUACCAGUGUUCGACGAGUCGACGGGUGUUCCGUGUCAAAUAUUUUGUAUCUCCCCAGCGAGUUUGAGGUCAGUGUUUCCUCAGCAGCCAGGCCUGAAGGUUGUUGUUCCCCCGGCAGGGGUGUGCGUUGGUAGAUUUUCUCCCCCCAAGCAGGUCUAGUUCAGUGGAGGUCAUCCCCAGUGAGGGUUACUCUUUCCUCGGCAUCAGUGUUAUUCCAAGCAGGGUUGGAGAUUGGAGCGAUAUCGAGUUCUUCAACAGAGUUGCUCGUGCUGUCCCCUGAGGGGGAUACUUUUUAUGCAUUCAUCAUUUAGAGAAGCAUAGCAUAUUGCAUAACAAUUGCGUAGCAUUUCCAUGGUUAUGGAGCAUUACGCUUUAAAACUCAUGCAUCGGCAUUGCAAGCAUAAGCUAGUCUCGAGCCGUGGUUACCGUUUGAGAGUUGGUUUAGCUGGUUGGUGAAGAUGUUACUCUGAGGAGUUUGGCAUCGUGAUUUUGAAUCAACAAUUGCAAGCAUAAGCUAGUCUCGAGCCGUGGUUACCGUUUGAGAGUUGGUUUAGCUGGUUGGUGAAGAUGUUACUCUGAGGAGUUUGGCAUCGUGAUUUUGAAUCAACAGUAUUCCCCAGUAGCGCGACAUUGGAGGAAGAGAUUCCGUCGUUCCGAGAUGGAAAUGAAGAUUGGAGAACAUUACGCGAUCAGCGCGGAGAUUGGGGUCCACCAGGAGGAAAGGAAGUGCUGAGCAUUUUCUGGAGAACGGUGUUCAAAUGGAGAAAAGGAGACACAUGGUGUCUUCUGGAGAAUGGGGUUCAUAACAACGAUCGAGAGAAUGGAAAUUCAAAAUGGCAUAACUUUUGAUAUAAUGCUUCAAAUUGGUUCAUUCUUUUUGCAAAGUGCUCCUUUUGUGUAAGGCAUCUCAAAAUGACAUCAUUUGACUCAAUUGUGCAAGCUAAGCCUCAAGGAAUCAUGGUUAAAAGUCACCUUAUUUCACAUUUGUUCUAAGGAUGAUGUCAUGCUACAAAUCAAAAUUCACAAAGAACCAAGGCAAGGCUUCAUUUCAGCCUUCUUCAUAGACCAUAUUGGAGUAAAAAUGAGCCAUUGCCAUGCAUGAAAGAGGCGUGUAUGUUCCUUGUUUCACACAUGUUCAAAAUGAAGCAAAUCUUCACCAUUCAUUAUUGGCUUAAGAUGCAAGCAAAACAACCUUCAAAUCCUGACCCUUGGUUGCUCCUUGAGUGCGAUUUAAGAUCCUAGGCAUGGGUUGACACGUGCAUAUUUGGGCCAUUGGGAACUCAAUUUGCAUUUUUUGCAAUUUGCAUUAAUACUACACUAUCAUGAUUAGUAAAUGGUAAAAUGAUUAUCAAGUGAUGCAAGACGUAUAAAUAGGGGAACCCUAUCACAAGGCCUCAGUACUGCAUUUUCAGAUCUAGAAUUCAAGGAUAGAAACUCUCUCAAACUCUUCUUACUUCGAGAUUGCAUUUUUUCUUCACACAAACCUCAAAAGAUCUUUGCAGAUUCUUUGAUCCUCUUUUCACUGAGCAACAUAUCAUCCAUCGUUUUGGGUUGUAAUUCCUAAGAAAUCAGCAGUUCAAGUGGUUUAUCAUGAUGACUCGGAUUUGGAAAUUGAGCACAUUCAGAGGUUUCAGCCCAUUCUUUUUGCAAUAAGGUCUUCAAAGGACAGUUCAAGGAGGCUUGUCUGAGCGCUGAGCUUCGUGAGAUCGUGAUUUCAGAGAUCUUCCAAUUCCAGGUGACUCCAUUUUCACUCUCUCCUUUUGCUGAUUUUAGGUUAUAGAAUUGAAGAUCUUGUUGCGAAGGUCAUGAAUAUAUGAUUAGAAUUGAGAUUGAGUGAGUAUUAAGGAUUUCAUUGUGACUGGAAGUUUGGAUCUGGAAACUUAUUCUCUUUGAAUUGCAAAACCUAGGAAGAAUUAGGAGAAUCUAAUGUGAUAUUUGGAAUCAGCGUGGAAAUCUGAGUGGAAUGGUGUUGGUCUGGUGAAUUUCUGGAAAAUUUUAGGGUGGCGCCGCCGUGGGAGCCACCGGGGACUCACCGGGGAAGACGACCGGAGCGGAGCUCCGGCGUCUGUGUUAUUUUAGGGUUUUGCUGAGUGUGCGCCAUGUGGUUCAAUGCGUGGCAAUUCGAUUGGAUGCGAUUUGGUUGACUGAGGCCACGCAAGUGUUGAACGCUGACUGGGUGGGUGACUCAAUUAGUGAAAUAGUGCAUUUCACUAGUUUGAAUGGGAACCGUUGAUCUCAGAUGCGCGCCAGAUCCAGCGGUCUGUGUUUUUUCCUGAUUAAUUCAAAUAAUCCAUUUCCCUCCUUUUUCUAUUUUAUAUUUCAAUUAUUUUGGUCAUUUUGUUUAAUUCAUAAAAAAUCCAAAAAUUGUCCAAUUGAGUCCCAAUUUUUUUUCAUAGUUUUGUAUUUGCGUCUACCUUUUUAUGGUGUUAAAUUCAAGAAUUUUUUAUGUCUGGAUAUUUAUGAGGGAAUUUUUGAAUCAAUAUUGUGCCAAAUUGACCUAGUGUAUUCAAUGCAUUGUGAAAUCCUCAAUUUUGAACCUUUUGAUCCACUCUUCUGCAUACAUGACAUUCAUACAUGACAUGAAUUAUUUGUCACUGGUUUGGAUUUUUUCUCACAUGUUAUCAUCAUUUUUGACACAUAGAGGAAAAUGUGACAAUUUAUGUCACAUUUUUGACAUUGAAUUGGUGCAUUUUUGUUCACAUAGCAUUUGCAUCAUUUUUGACUUGAUCUUUUGCAUAUUGAACACUCAUGGCAUAAGGAACUUAUACAAAAAAAUCCCAAAGUCAUUGCAUGCAUUUCUGAUUUGAUAUGAAUUUUCUAAGUUGGAAGUUCAUUUUGUGCAUAUUUUUGGUCAUUACAUGGCAUAGGCCAGUUGAGGUACUUGAUCAUUGAUUUGAUGUUGAUCCUUUUGAGGACAUUGGAGGGAGUGUUUCAAUGUGUGAUGUGCAAAAGGAUGGGUCAUGGAUUGGUCAUUUGGUUAGGUUUUGAAUCUUGUCCUUGUACUAGGGUUUUGACCCAAUUUUAGGGUUUGCUCUUGGUCCAUUCUUUGACUUGAUUUGGGGUUUUCUUUGUAGUGUGAGCCUUUGCCUAUUUUGCAUUGGUUUGAUCCCUUAGUUAUGAGUCUUGAGUCAUUUGAUUGGCGCAUUCAUUCAAGUCAUACUUUAUUUGGUGCUUAUUUGAAGGUUGGGAACACUAGUGAAUUCUCAAGGAGACUUAUGAGGUAUUGAGUGAGUGAAGGUUCUUAUUGGUAUGAGAAGGGAACACUAGUGAAUUCUCAAGGAGACUUAUGAGGUAUUGAGUGAGUGAAGGUUCUUAUUGGUAUGAGAUGAAUUUAUGGGCUUAUAAAUUGGAUUUGUGACUCAUUAGAGAUGAUUUUAGAAGCACGAUCCUACUGACUUGUGAACUUUUGAAUGGUUUGAGGCUUGUGGUGGCUUGUUGAAGUGAUUUAGGCCUAUUUUGGAGCUUUUUGAAGCAAUUGAAUGGUAUUUGAAGUAUGGUGGAUCUUUGGCCUUGGUGUUUGAUGUUUAGGGGUUCAUAUGGUUCUUUUUGGGGCUUGUGAUCAUUGGUUGGAGUUUAUUUGGGGUUCUCACAUCUUUUGGGAAGCUUUAAGAAGUGUUUGAAGAGGUAUGAAGCCAUGGUGAGCAAGUUUUGAGUGCAAGCUUGUUCUACUUGAGUUUUCAAGGGGUUUAUGGUUGAUUUUGGAUCAUUGGAGUAUGGAUUAUUGGGUGGUCAUUUGAAGGACCCUACUUCUGACUUUGAGUGAUCUUGAUUCAAUCCAUCUCAUGCCAUUGUUUGUUUAUACUUUGUUGUGUUGAUUGGAUGUACAUAAACUAACUUUGUCUCUUGUUUCAGGUUUGGAUACUCAUCAUUGAUGAUUGGGUUUGUUCUCACCUUGUGAGAUACAAAAUGCAUUGAGUUCUGACCUAUUAUGGAUACUCAUCAUUGAUGAUUGGGUUUGUUCUCACCUUGUGAGAUACAAAAUGCAUUGAGUUCUGACCUAUUUUUGUUUUGUAGGGUUUUAAUUGAUGUGGUGAGCUCAUGAGCUCAUUUGAGUGCCAGGGCACUUAUGCAUUGAAUUGUGUAAUUGUUAGAGGGUUUCACUGCCUGUCUUCUGGUUUUAUGACUGAAGUACUAACUGUUUAGUCUUUGUACAGGUACCUUAGUUGCUUACUUGCUUUAGCUCUUGCUUGAGCAUUGGAUUGUGGUUGACACACCACUCAGGUAGUUAGCUUCUCACUUCAUGUAGUCUGGAGUCCUGUCACCUUUUUGGCAGGCACUUUGCUGGCAAGUCCUCCUUCAGAGGCUCUGUUUGUGUUUGUUUAAAAUUGUGCCCAAAGACCUCCAAGAAGAGGCAUGUGUUAUACUUGAUAAGACCUCCAAGAGAAGAGGCAAUUUACGGAAGGUAGGGAUCUGUAACCGAUUCCCCGUUAUUCAGUGUGUCGUUCUUUAUGCUCGCACUACAUGCUGAUGCUUCUGAACAUGUGCCCCAGAUCUUUUGUCCAGAGUCAGUCAAGUGGAAAAGGAUCCCACUUUCUGAAUCCCCAUGCUUCCUGUGUCAUGAGCUCGCCCUGGCCAGGGUUAAGAGCAUGAGGUCUCAUCCUCAUUUAGACUUUGAUCAGUUUCACCCUGACGUUCAAUGUUAGUGGUUAAGAGCUACAGAUUACCCCUUGCAGUUUGGCUUAUUUGUCGAGGUUGAUAUGACCCCUCUUGACUAAAGCCCACCCAUUGUUUGAGACUCGUGUAUGGAUAUAGUGUGUGAUGAUUGUUUACUUGUGUUGGUGUGUUCAUUUGCUUUCCUCUCCUCAUCUCCAUUUCUGUAGGAGUCGUGCGAUUAGCUUCUGAGGAAGUUGAACGUAUGUAGAGUUUAGACUUGAGUUGACUCGCUUUCAGGAUGAGUUAAGUUCUUGUUAGAGACCUCGACUUAGGGAUAUUGAUUGCAUGACAACUAUUAGGCUCGAGUCUUAGUCUCCCUAUUAGUUUGUUGUUUCCCUGGUCUCUGGUUAGGAGAGUGUUUUACCCCUGGUAAGGGGAACUACGUCGCCCUGAAGUCUUAGUCUCCCUAUUAGUUUGUUGUUUCCCUGGUCUCUGGUUAGGAGAGUGUUUUACCCCUGGUAAGGGGAACUACGUCGCCCUGAUUCUCAUACCAGAUGAGAUACGUAGGCAGGAGGUUGAGAGCAAUCUCUCCGGGCACCCUUUUCUUUAUUUUCGCGUGUGUUGACCCUUUAGUUGUCUUCUUUUAUAUUUGUGUUGUUUCCUCUUUCCCUCUUCCAUUGUUGAGUCUCUAUUUGUUUACCCUUAUUCCCAACGGGGAUUUACCGUUUCGUGUCUUGGUUUCUGGCAUUUGUUUUCUUUAGUGUGAGUACCCGUUUGUUCAGCGUGUGUGUGUUGUAUGUUCAUACCUUGGGGAAUUUCUGCUAUUAUUAUUCGGGGUUCACUAGUUGGGGUUCACUUUGGUUACCUGUUAUCCGUUCGGGGUUCACCUAUAUUGACUUGGGAGAUUUCUUCUGUUAUUACUUGGGGUUCAUAUUGGGGUUCAUCUUCGGGGUUCAUUUCUAAUGAUUGUUAUUCACUUGGGGUUCAUCUUUGGGGUUCAUUUGUGGCGACUGGUUAUACAUAUCGGGAAUUUAUUCUGGAUAUUUGGUUACUUUGUUGGGGUUCGUUCUGAUAACCUUUUUCUUUGGUGUUCGUUGGUUAGCGUUUGUUAUUGUUGGGAGUCGGGUGUAAGUCCAUGUAUUGGCAUUCUGUUUCCUUUUGGGUGUUUCUUUUGACAUCUCAGCGUCCCUUUUUUUGUGUGUCUUGUUUCGGCGUGCGUUAGCCGAGCUACGAGUGCUCUGAUUCUCCUCUGGAUAGAGAAGAUACGUAGGCAUAAGACGCGAUGUCUUAGCGAGCAUGUCUCCUUUUCCCGAACUACGUCGACUCUGAUGUUUGUUUCUGACAAACUACGUAGGCACAAGAUGCGACAUCCUGCCGAGUCCACUUCCUCCGUCUUCUUUCUCUCCCCCACCUGUUUAUCGUUCCAGUUUGUGCAGUUUCUUUGAGCAGUUUAUUAGCAACCCUUUCCUUUUCUUUAAGCUAUCUUUUGAGUGUGGAUCCCGUCGAGUACGGCGGACGUGAGGGGGUGAUAAUCCUUCUCCUUGCGUAACCGACUCCCGUACCUUGCAAUCUCUGGUCGUAAGACCAUUCCUUUCCCUUUCUUAGGUUAUUCAUGCGCUCCCUUUUCGUCAUAGGAUGAAUAGCGUUGGUGGCGGCUCUGUAUUUUCCCCGCCGGUUGUUUUUCGCGUUGCGACAAGGAUGAACAUAUCAAGGAUAUACUUCCUGGGGAAUAGAUCCACUAGGGACUCUACUGAUGAGAAAAAAUAAGGGUACUUUUGUCGGGUAUUGGGCAAUAAGUAACACACUGCAAACUAAGAAGAAUAUUACUAGUUACUGGGUAAUAGACUCUUAGGGGACCAAAACAUCUAUCUAGGUAAGAGCUAGAAAGAAAACGGUCAAUCAAGACUCAACCCAAUAAGGACAUAACUCAAGGGGAGUAAUUCCAUCCAGAAAAUCAACUAGGGAGGAAACUGAAAUAACAACCAUCCACGAGGAAACAAACUCAGUGGGGAAAAGGAGAAAGGUUAAAGUCUUUCUGCUUAAGGGGCUGACAUUCUACAAUUGAAGGAUAACAGACAUCAGAUUUGGUAUGGGGAUAAAAUACCGCCAUAAGAAUCUCAAACAAAUCAAAUAUGAAGAUGCAAGGUAUGCAAUUAUGAAAUUAUAUGAUUGUAUAUGUAUAUAUGAUGAUUAUGCUGACAAAACGAUCACAAAGGAUACAAAGGUGUCGCAAAGAAUUUGAACCAUCAGCACAAUCCUCGGUCAAUCCAUAAAAUAUGGAGACAACUACUGGAGAACGAAGAUAUCAACAUCCCAAAGGUUCAAACCUAGUUGGGGAAGGAGGAGAUCUGUUGAGGACAGAACAUCCAAUUUGUGGGUAAUUUUAGGUCAACACCAUAAAAAUGGGAGACAACCCUACAGAGAAUAAUCAUAACAAAAGCUGCUAAAAAACCAGGAGGAAACUCUGACUAGGAGCAAGUUGAAUGGCGAUUGGUGGGGAAACCAAUGCGAUCUACUGGGGAAGAUCAACCACCUCUGAAGAUCAACUCUAUUGAGGAAAUACGAACUUCGUUGUGGAUGUACAAACUCCGUUGGGGAAGGCAGAAACUCUGUCGGGGAAAACAACACACUUUAGGGUAUCUGAAUCAACCAACUCAGCUGGGAACGAGGAAAGGAAUUCCACUGAGGAUCAAACACUCCUCCGAGGAACUGAAUCAACACAAACGUCUAGGGAUACCCAAAGGAUUAACUGUUUGGGGAACCUCUGAUGUUUCGCACUUAAGGACUUGAUAUCCAUUAAAAUGAUGUUGAUAUUCCUUUUACUUGCUUUGGAAAAAUUCUUACUUUUAUAUAUUUAAGAAAAAACUUGAUUUUGAUUUAAAAAUUUAAUUUCAAAAUGAUCAUAAUAAAAUUUAAAACUAUUGGCUGAAGUAAAUAAGAGUAGAAACAAUUUAUAUAAAAGUUCAACUUUAUUUAAUGGAAUGGUAGUCUGUAAAUGACAAGACUCCAUGGAUUUUACAAAGUUGAAAAUGGUAAUUUACAUGAAAAAGGGUUACAUCGAAUACAAAUGAUCCUUAAUCCUUCUACCAACUCUUGAUAUCCACUGUGCUCUUGACCGCUGCUGGGGAUGAACUGAUGUCAACCCUUGUGCUCAAACAAGUCUUCAAAAUCUGAAGAUCAGCAAAAUGCAGUUACUUGCCAUAAUCCCUAAUUUUUGCAUAAGUUUCCCAAGGUGGGGUACUCAACUUAUUGGGAAAUUCUUUAUGUUUUAUGUCUCUAAUUUUUGCCUUGAUAGCCCUUUCGGGUUUUCAAUCCACUGAGACGCUCAUUUUUGCCUAAGCCGCCCUUUCGGGUUUUCAACUUAGCGAGUUGUUCUUUUAUUUUUUAGGCGAAGUAUUUCUUGACUGCAUUUGCACUCAUAGGACGAGUGAACUCUUCACCAUCCAUCGUUGUAAGAAUCAAUGCGCCGCCUGAAAAUGCUCUCUUAACAACAUAUGGGCCUUCAUAAUUAGGAGUCCAUUUUCCUCUGGAAUCUGGCUUGAACGUCAAAAUUUUCUUGAGCACAAGGUCACCUUCUCUGAACACUCGAGGUCUGACCUUUUUAUCAAAAGCUUUCUACAUCCUCUGCUGAUGUAGCUGACCAUGACACAUGGCAGUCAAUCUCUUCUCUUUAAUUAAAUUCAGCUGAUCAAACCCGGUCUGACACCAUUCAGCCUCAGUCAACUUGGCUUCCAUGAGCACACGUAAUGAAGGAAUCUCAACCUCUACGGGGAGCACUGCUUCCAUACCAUAAACAAGAGAGAAAGGGGUUGCCCCUGUUGAAACUGACACCAUUCAGCCUCAGUCAACUUGGCUUCCAUGAGCACACGUAAUGAAGGAAUCUCAACCUCUACGGGGAGCACUGCUUCCAUACCAUAAACAAGAGAGAAAGGGGUUGCCCCUGUUGAAGUGAGGAUGGAUGUACGAUACCCAUACAAAGCAAAAGGGAGCAUCUCAUGCCAAUCCUUAUAUGUGACAACUAUAUUCUGGAUAAUCUUCUUGAUGUUCUUGUUCGCAGCUUCAACUGUCCCAUUCAGCUUAGGUCUGUAGGGAGAAGAACUAUGAUGUGCAAUCUUAAAGUCUUUACAAAGAGCUUCCACCAUAUUGUUAUUCAAGUUUGAUCCAUUGUCAAUAAUGAUCUUACUUGGCACACCAUAACGACAUAUAAUCUGAUUCUUGAUAAACCUUACAACAACUUGCUUGGUCACAUUUGCAUACGAUGCCGCUUCAACCCAUUUUGUGAAGUAGUCAAUUGCCACUAAAAUGAAACGAUGUCCAUUUGAAGCUUAAAGCUUUGGGCUCAAUCAUCCCAAUCAUAUCAAUUCCCCACAUGGAGAAGGGCCAUGGGAAAGAGAUAACAUUCAAUAGUGUCGGAGGAACAUGAAUCUUAUCAGCAUAAAUUUGACACUUGUGGCACUUCUUCACAAAUUUGCAAUAGUCAGAUUCCAUUUUCAGCCAAUAGUAACCUUCUCGCAACAUCUUCUUCGCCAUUGCAUGUCCAUUGGAAUGAGUACCAAAGGAACCUUCGUGCACUUCAGUCAUCAACAAGUCUGCUUCGUGUCUAUCCACACAUCUGAGCAAAACCAUGUUGAAGUUUCUCUUGUAUAGUAUAUCACCAUUUAAGUAGAAGUUGUCGGCUAAUCUUCUCAAAGUCUUCUUAUCUUUCAAAGAUGCCCUAAGCGGGUAAAUCUGUCUUUGGAGGAAACAUUUGAUGUCGUAAUACCACGGCUUCUCAUCUUUGAUUUCUUUAACAGCAAACACAUGAGCUAGCCUAUCAAGACGCAUCACAAAUAAAUUGGGAACUUCAUUCCAAUACUUCACUACAAUCAUCAAUGCCAACGUUGCAAGAGCAUCUGCCAUUCGGUUUUCAUCUCGAGGAAUAUGAUGAAAAUCAACUUUUGUAAAGAAAGUUGAAAUCCUCCUCGCAUAAUCUCUAUAUAGUAUUAAAUCGGGUUGAUUUGUCUCCCAUUCACCUUUGAUCUGAUUCAUAACCAAAGUCGAAUCACCGAAGACAUCUAAAUACUUGAUUCUGAGAUUCAUGGCCUCUUCAAGCCCCAUAAUGCAAGCAUCAUAUUCUGCCAUGUUGUUUGUACACUUGAAAGUCAAUCUAGCUGUAAAUGGUAGAUGCGUGCCUUGAGGAGUAAUAAUCACUGCCCCAAUUCCAUUUCCAUAUUGAUUAACAGCUCCAUCAAAUAAUGCCAUGUUGUUUGUACACUUGAAAGUCAAUCUAGCUGUAAAUGGUAGAUGCGUGCCUUGAGGAGUAAUAAUCACUGCCCCAAUUCCAUUUCCAUAUUGAUUAACAGCUCCAUCAAAUACCAUGCCCUAACGGGAACCAGGUUCUGGCCCUUCUUCAAGCAAUGGUUCAUCACAAUCUUUCAUUUUCAAGUUCAAAAUCUUUUCAUCAGGAAAAUCAUACUGCACUGACUGAUAAUCUUCAAUUGGUUGGUGAGCCAAAUGGUCAGCCAAGAUACUACCUUUGAUCGCUUUCUAAGAUCGGUAUUCGAUAUCAUACUCUGAUAACAACAUCUGCCAACGGGAAAUCCUCCCAGUUAAAGACGCUUAGCAGCCCAAGCCAAUGCGCAACAAGUCUUCUCAAGCAUCGAAUACCAAGUCUCACAGUCGGUGAGCUUCUUACUGAGGUAGUAGAUUGCAAAUUCUUUCUUUCCAAUCUCAUCUUGCUGACCAAGAACACAACCCAUACUAUCUUCGAGUACAGUCAAAUACAUGAUCAACGGUCUUCCUUCAACAGGGGGAGACAAAAUCGGAGGUUCAAGCAAAUAUUCUUUAAUACUCUCAAAAGCUUUCUGGCAUUCUUCGGUCCAAUCACAAGACUGGUCUUUCCGAAGAAGCUUGAAUAUAGGCGCACAUGUGGCAGUCAUAUGGGAAAUGAAUUUGGAAAUAUAAUUCAAGCGGCCAAGAAAACCUCUGACUUGCUUCUCAGUUUUGGGCGCAGGCAUCUCUUGUAUUGCUUUGACCUUGGUAGGAUCAACUUCAAUACCCUUCUCGCUUACAAUAAAGCCCAACAACUUACCAGAACGAACACGAAAAGUACACUUAUUGGGAUUCAAGCGGAGUUUAUACUUCCUCAGACACUGGAAUAGCUUCGACAAAUGCUUAACAUGUUCCUCUUCAUCAAUUGAUUUAGCAAUCAUGUCAUCAACAUAAACUUCAAUAUCUUUAUGCAUCAUAUCAUGAAAAAGAGUAGUCAUUGCUCUCUGGUAAGUUGCACCAACAUUCUUUAAAUUGAAAGGCAUCACUCUAUAAUAGAAUGUUCCCCAGGGUGUAAUGAAUAUGGUCUUCUCCAUAUCUUUGGGUGCCAUCUUGAUCUGAUUAUAUCCGGAAAAUCCAUCCAUAAAUGAAAAGACUUUGAAUUUAGCAGUAUUUUCUACCAACAUAUCAAUGUGUGGCAGAGGGAAAUCAUCUUUCGGACUGGCUUUAUUCAAAUCUCGAUAGUCAACACACAUGCGGACUUUUCCAUCUUUCUUCGGCACAUGCACAAUAUUGGCCACCCAUUGCGGAUACUCAGUUGUUACAAGGAAACCGGCAUCAAUAUGCCUUUGCACUUCCUCUUUGAUCUUCACAUCCAUAUCAGGAUGCGUUCUUCUCAAUUUUUGCUUGACUGGCGGGCAUUCUGGCUUCAACGACAAUCUAUGCUCCACAAUCUCAGAAUCCAAACCAAGCAUGUCUUGAUAAGACCAAGAAAACACAUAUGAAUACACUCGAAGAAGAUCAAUUAACCCCUUCUUCACAUCAGGACACAGUCGAGACCCAAUCUUGACUUCCUUCACAUCAUCUUCGAAACCCAAGUUGACUAGCUCAAUCUUCUCUUCAAAUGGCUGAAUAAUCUUUUCAUCUUGCUCAAGAAGACGAGUCAAUUCAUCACUCACUUCUACAUCACUUUCCUCUUCAGCCUCAAACACAGGGAAUUCAAAAUUUGGAGAAGGAGAAGGAUCAUUGUAUUCAAUGGGGUUAGAAACCAACAUGCAUAAUGAUUUGAUAUUUUGAUUUUAGAGAAGUGAAUUUGUGACCAAAUAUUAUACAGAUGGACAAUUAUAUUAUUUAUUUAUGUUUUUUGUGAUUACCAUUUUCAGAAUAAAGCAAAAAGUAAAAACAAGCAUCAAAGAUGUGGAUGAAUAGAAUUAAUUUUAUUAAUGAUCAAAUUGAAAUGCCCAAAUAAUGUUCACUUCUCCCUUAGGCAUAGGAGAAGGAUUUUAAAAUAUAAAAGCAAUUACUUAGAUCGAUGCAAAAUAAUAGGAAUAUCAACAGCAUUCCAAUUGUUGCACGUCUUUCCAUGCGUUACAAAGUUGGUGCAGUCCUCUUCUUCGUCAUCCUCUAGCACAGCAGCUAAGUGUUGUUCAUUGCCAUGAAUGAACCCUCCGCUAUGGAAGUUGAGUUGCAUAUCUUCAGAUCUUGCAAUUGAUGAGCCUUUCUGGAACCCCAAACCGGUUCUGCCCUUGUUUUCGGAGACCUCUACCAUACGCCCCCACUGAUCAACAGUACCUUCUUCAACAAUCUUCUGAGCAUCUUUUAAUGAGGACAUGGGUGCCCCAACUCACUUUUCAGCAGCAAUAGACAAGGCUUGGAACGGAGUUCCAACCUCAUCCUCAGCUUCAAUAUAAGAGAAAGAUGACAAAUGGCUAACCAACAACUCCUUCUCUCCUCCAACAAUCACAAGCUUGCCAUUCUUGACAAAUUUCAAUUUCUGAUGCAGAGUGGAGGUAACAGCUCCCGCCUCAUGAAUCCAUGGCCUUCCCAAUAAACAGCUGUAGGCCAGGUGGAUAUCCAUUACUUGAAAAGUAAUAUGAAAAUCACUCGGACCUAUCUUGACUGGAAGGUCCACUUCACCAAUUAUUGUUUUGCGUGAACCGUCAAAAGCUUUAAUGAUUACACCGCUAUACCUCAUGGGCACUCCUUGGUAAGAUAGCUUCGACAAAGUUGACUUUGGAAGUACAUUCAGUGACGACCCGGUGUCAACCAGCAUGAUUGACAAAGCAUCUUCUUUGCAAUUCAUAGAAAUGUGCAAAGCCAGAUUAUGGUUUCUGCCCUCCUCAGGGAGUUCUUCGUCGCAAAAGCUGAGAUUGUUGCAAGAAGUGAUCUUAGCCACAAUGCAAUCAAAUUGAUCCACUGUAACAUCAUGCUCUACGUAUGCUUGUUCAAGAACUUUCUGUAGUGAUUCUCUGUGUGCUUCGGAAUUCAAAAGCAGAGACAACACUGAGAUUUUUGAGGGGGUUUGGAGCAGCUGCUCCACCAUAUUAAACUCGCUCCUCUUUAUCAAUUGGAGUACCUCAUCAUCAUCAUUGGCUUUCAAGUUGCUGGAUUCACCAGACUUAUCUUUUGAAACGCCAAUCGGAUCUACAUUAGGUACCUCCACCUUCUUACCAACAAUCGUUUCUUCUUUGUUGUUGGUAUUGUUGUUGUUGUUGUAGGUGUUCGCUCUUUGUUGCGGUUGUUGUUGUUGACGCUGAUGUUGUUGUUGUUGUUGAAUUGGUGUUGCUUGUUGAUUAGAAAAUACUGUAAUUACUAAUGACACUUGAUGAUGGUGAUGUUGAUGGGGUGGUGGAUUCCUUCUGAUUUGAGGCCUCCUCUGCCUCCCACUAACUACUGCAUUCGUCUCACUGUCAUUCUUCUUACCAAAGUUGCUACCAUAUUUCUUGCUUGUUGACGCCUCAUCUCUUGACAACCGUCCCUCACGGACUCCUUCCUCAAGUCUCAUCCCCAUGUUUACCAUUUCGGUAAAGUCACUCGGGGCACUAGCGAUCAUGCGUUCAUAAUAAAAUGAACUUAGAGGUUUUAAAAAGAUUUUUAUCAUCUCUUUCUCCUCCAAAGGAGGAGUGAUCUGGGCAGCCAACUCCCUCUAUCUUUGCGCGUAUUCUUUAAAUGUCUUUUUGUCCUUCUGAGACAUAGACCUCAGUUGGUCUCUAUCAGGCGCCAUGUCCAUAUUAUACUUGUAUUUCUUUACAAAAGCAUCUUCCAAGUCGUUGAAAGUGUGAAUACUUGCACUAUCCAACCCCAUGUACCAACGGAGUGCAGCACCAGUCAGACUAUCUUGGAAGUAGUGAAUAAGCAAUUGAUCAUUGCCGGUAUGAGUAGACAUCUUGCGGGCAUACAUCACAAUAUGUUUGAGCGGACAAGAGUUCCCCUUAUACUUUUCAAAGUCAGGCACUUUGAACUUCACCGGGAUCUUGACGUUGGGCACUAAGCACAACUCAGCAGCACUCUUUCCAAACAAGUCUUUACCUCUUAGCAUCUUCAAUUCCUUACGCAGCUCAAGAAACUGAUCUUUUAUCUCUUCCAUCUUCUCAUACACGUCCGGACCCUCAGACGACUCAGAAUGAUAGAUGGUAUCCUCUACGCGAGGCAAGGUGUGCACAACGGGAGGCGGCACGGACAUGACCCGGCUAGAUGUCGGCAUGGAAGCAAAUGUACGCGCAAAGCCUUCGGGCAACAAGUUGGACGACAUUCCCCACGGGAAUCCGGUAGGCAUAUUCGGCGCAAAGUGAGCGGUAGAAGCAGGCAUGGUAGAGGUAGUCACCUCUGAAGUAACAGUCCUCGCGGGAGGAGUUGCAGGCGUUGGAGAAGCUUGAUUCUGAGCAGCAAGAAUUGACUCCAUCAUGGCAAUCGGGCGGGCGAUCUCGUCCUUCGGCUCUUUGUUCUCUCGCUCUAAAUGUUCCAUAAUUCUCAGAUGGUUGGCUCAGGUAUUGUACCGGUGAGUCAGCUUGGCUAAAGCACAGAAGAAACGCCAAUCAGACAUCUGGCAAAAACCUGCUUGUGCAAAUGAUGCAUGAAAUGUAAUGCUUGAUUAUUUUUAUUUUCAAGGAACUUACUAUAUCAUUUGCAAAUAUAUAAUAUUUAAAUGGCAAUUGCAACAAUUUGAUAUGACCAAAAAUCUCUUUUUAUUUAUAAAUUGGGAGGAUUACACUGAGUACAAUUUCAGAAACCAAAAUAAAAACAUACAAGAGAAAAGGAGAAUAGUCAUCCUAAGGAUCCCUAACAUCGUCAGAAGAUCUGGCUGUAGGCGCGUACUUCCUUUGAAUGCGAUGGAUCUCGGUUUCAAAAGAAGCCUUCAUCUGAGUCUUCUCGAGGACAAGUUGAUCAACAAUCUUCUUCCAAGCAACGGAAGGCUGAGGCAUGCUAGAAGAUGAAACCUCUGGCUCUCUCUGUCUCUUCGUCACUCGGUCUUCAAGUAGCUCAAUAAGUGUAUAUUUGUCCUUAGACUCCAACUGCAACUCUUCAUGCUUCUUGCUCAAAGCAUGGAAACGCUCUUCCCACAUGUCCUUCUCUUGCUUCAUCUUGGCGAGCGCGUCUUCCAACUCCUCUACAUCUUGGUUAGGGAGAGUUAAUGGCUCAACCACAACCAUAAACAUAGGUCUUUCACAAGGAUAAGGCAUCUUCAACUCCAUAGCUCUCUUCUUCACCCAAAGAGUGUAAGCUUCCAAAGCUACACAAUUGCACAGACCAAGCUCGGAUCUUCCUUUCCUAUGCACAUGAUGCCAAGCAUGCAUAAUCUUCUGCUUCAAGUGUUGGGGAUCUUUAACCUCUUGAUAGAAAAGACCUUCUAACAAAGUGUUAUUAGGCUUGUCUCUCAAGGGGAAUCCAAGUUGACAACGAGCCAAAGCAGGAUUGUAGUUAAUUCCUCCUUGUGUACCAAUGAGAGGCAUAUUAGAGAAUUCACCACAACUAUCAAUAAUCUUCAAACUGCUCAAAGAUGGAUUAUACCAAACUAUAUCAUCAUUAGUGAGAGACACAAGUCUCUGCGACUACCUUAGACAUUGUUUGUUCUCCACAAAAGAAGGUGUAUGAGGCAAGUGUGAAAUAAACCACUUGUACAUAAGAGGAAUGCAACAGACAAUAGUUCCAUCACCUUUAGAAUUCCUUAGAUGCAAAGAGAAUAACAUAUCACCCAACAAAGUAGGCACAGGAUUCCCAAUCAAGAACAGUCUAAUGGCGUUAACAUCAACAAAACCGUCAAUGUUAGGGAACAAAGCUAAUCCAUAAAUGAGAAUUACCAAGAUAGAUUCAAAACCAUCCACACUACCUGCUUGAGUAAAGGCAGUAGCUUCCUUGAUAAGGAAAAUAGAUGGCAACCUAAAUAACCCUCCUUUCUUCACCCAAUGAGCCUCUAUCUCAGACUUCUUCAAGUGAAGAGCUUCAACAAUAAUACUAGAUCGGGGAAUCUCCUCAAAUCCACUAAAUGGCACUCUACUAGAAAUAGGUAUCCCCAAAAGAUAAGAAUACUCCUCCAAGGUAGGCACAAGCUGAAAAUCUGGGAAAGUGAAACAACGGUAGAGAGGAUCAUAGAACUACACUAGCACACUCAAAAGUCCUUCAACCACAUCAGCAGAUAAGAUGGACAAAAGCUUUCCAUGACGUUGUUUGAAGUCCAAGGGAUCUAAUACAAAAGAUGCUAGCUUCCUUAACUCUUUCAAGUCGGGACAUCUGAAACUGUACUUCUUAGUGUUCCUUCGUCCAUAAUCGUCAUGGUCUAAAAAUAUUUGCAGAUGAUAACCUUAGUUCCUUGGAAAUUUUUUGUGAUGAUUUAUGAGGCACAUGAAUGCAUGAAAUGCAACAAUCACCAAAUAAGGGAUCACAACAGGGCAAAGGCAAAAGUCAAGGGAUGAAUCAAGUCAUUCUCAAGCAUCAAUCAUCCAUAUUUGGGGAUUAAUGUUACACCUUAUCCCAACACCCAAGUCCAAUUUGAUAUGACAAGAUUGAUUGGCAUCAACCAAAAAUCAAGUAGUGGUUUACUGUCGUAGUCACGAGCAUGAGUCUGGUUUCAAGAAACCAUCCCAAAAGGAGUGAACUUAAAGAAAUUUAAAAAACUUGCUGAUAUGUUCUAAAAAUUCCCAGACGUUCUUAAUUCCCAUCUAUCGGAUAUUACAGUGUAAGCAGGACUGACUCAUCGACCAAUAUAAUUCUCAAGAGAAACUCGUCUCGACAGUGUAAUAUCGUGUAACUGUUGAUCAGUCUACACUUGAAUAGUUUCUGCAUACAUCCUAAAUAGGCCAGAUGGAUGAGGGUUAAUAUGUUCUAAGCGUCCCUCAUCUUUUCUCAGACUCAUUAGAGAUGCAAUUGCCUAACCAUAAAUACUCUGUGUGGAACUUUCAAAUCCAAGAGUUCUUCACUCGAGCGGAUGAGUCUCAAAGCAACUUGUUAAGGACUACUCUACACAAGUCAAACAUGACUAAUAUCAUCCUCAUUCUUAAUUUGCACUACAAGUUCGGUUCUAGACUAUCUCACCACUCAGAGGAUCACCAAGCCAACAAGCAGAUUAUAUCACACAUAGUCUAUAUACAAACAUCAACUAUAUACAAUAUAUUAUACACACAAAAGUAGGCUAAACCCACUGGAGACUACUCGCCCGAGCAGAGUCUCCAUUAAUUUCUGUAGCGUUAAACAUGAUCUCAGCUAUGACAACUAGAGAUCAUCAAAUAACAAGAGUGCCACGCGCUUUUUUGUUUCCAAAGGAAAGGGGAAAUGUAUACGAACAAACCCAAAAUUGAAGAAUUUUUAAAAUCAAAACUAAUUAAAUUGUCAGAGACGAUUAGGUGAUUGGUGACAGAGGGAAGGUGUUAAGCACACAGAAGAGGUCCUAGUACUCCUAGGCGAGCCCUUUUUGUAUUUAAUGUACUUGCGUAUAAAGUCAUGUUUAGCUAUAGAUAGGAGUAGAGAAUGGCGGGGAUGAGGAAAGAAUGAUUAAUUAUAUUUUUGUGUUUGACAAGACCUUCGGUCUUGUGCCUACGUACCAACAUAAAAAUGAGGGAUCAAAACCUCGUAGUUCGUAAUACAAAUUUCAAAGUGGAUGCAUUACUUUUAACAAAAUUUAAGUUUGAAAGGCACAAGGGCCUAAAAUGGUUUGAAUGUAUUAGUUCUUUAUGGCUUUUUGAAAGUUUAAUUCAAGUAUAGUUAAGUUUAUUUACAAGUUUUAUUUAAGAAAAGAAGUUUGAAAAUGCAAUGGCAUAAGGCCAAAGUUUCUAUUUUUUUGCAAAGUGGUCAAUGUUUAGAACAAAAGUAGUUCACACAAAGAAGAUUUUGAAAAAAAUGGAGAGAGAGAUUUUGAAAUUAAAGAAAUGGGGAGAAGAUGAAGAGACUACCCUAUGUACAAAAUUUAAAAGUUUAGAGUUGAAAAGAUCUGACCAAGUGGGUAGCAAUCCAAUAGAUAAGAAUGUCAAUAGAAACCCAGAAUUCCCUUAGACUUUUAGAAUUAAGCAACACAAUGCACAAUUAUAUUAUCUUGAAGAGCAAGGCAUCAAAUAAAUAUAGCCACAUCCAAGUUUAUCCAUUCCAUGAUCUUCUCCAAAAUAGCCCAUGUAAUAGAUGAAUUCCACAAGUCACAGGUUCAAAAUAGCAGCUUCGCAAUGAUCAUGUUGCAGAUGAACUCAAAAGGAUCUUGAAUGAUUUAUCAGAUGAAGUUUCAAAUUGCAAGCACUUGGUUUCUCAAUAAGUUGGCAUUGACCAAGUCCUUUAGCAUAGGAAUGUUGCCUAGAUUCUAAGUCCAUUUGUCCAAGAUCAGACCAACAGUCUACACAAAAGAUUUUAGGGUUUUUUGUUUUUAUUAUGUACAUUAAUGGUCAAAGACCAUACAAACAAACAAAGUAUACACAAAGAAAAUAUAUCACACAAUAUGGUCCAAAUGGACAAAGUGAAAAUUGCAUUAACAUAAACAAAUAGGAUGAUAUGAACAAUGGCAAAUGAAUAAAAGCAAAAAUUAAAUGGCAUUAAAAUAAAGGGUUUGAAAUUAAAAGUUAGUAGUUAAUAGGUUAAAAUUUAUUAUUGUUUUGCUUUUGCUUUCUUAAUUGAAGUCAUUCUUUGGAGAACACUCAACCCACUUAUCACAAGCAUGGAUCCUUGAACCAAGACAUCUUUUAAAGGAAGGGAAAAAGACUAAGUUUCCACACAAUACCAUGAAAGAUGAGAGACUUACAAUCUCACUAACUAGAAUGCUUAUGCCUUUUAUGUCACAAAUUUAGCGCUAUGUUAAUCAAUUGUAAUUGGACUGAUGUAGAAGUCACAACUAUUUGAGGUCGGGAAAUGAAAUUUUGGUGUUAAUGCAUGUUAGAGACAUAGUAUAGUAGAUUAUGCUCAUGAAACAUACCACACACAAAAAGAAUAUGCAAAAGGGGUGGCCUAAUCUCAUCCAUACUCAUGUCAAUUUUUCAAUCAACUAGCCUUAGGAUUUUGAGAUAUCAUAGGCCAAAUGGAUGGAAGAGCUGAAGAAACGGGUAAUAGUGAAGUGGGAGGAAACAUGGAUCAAAACACAAAUUGGUCAAAGGAGGACUUUUACCAAAUUAAUAUCAUCCAUUCAUUUUGGGAGAUGGAAUGUACAUUCCAUCAAUCCCCUAAAUCCAAUGAUAUUAAUUUGACAAAGUUAAAUCAACAUUGACCAAGGCCCAACAAUAAGAGUCAAACAUAAACAAGUCAUCACAAUUGGUCAACAAAUUUAUUUGGCAUUUAUUCAAAUUAAAAAUACUAAAAUAGUUCAUUUAAAUUAAAUAUGGUUUGUCCAAUUCCUAAAAUCUCAUCAAAACACCAAAGAAAUGGCCAUGAGAUUUAUCAUAGGUCAAAUAAGGUCAAAGGACCUUGGAGAAAAAAUUUCAUAAUUUUUGAACAUUUAAAAAUAUUUUUAAACAAUUAAAACCAAAUGCAAAAUCAAUUAAUUCAUGAAAAAUAUUAAUAAUGAUCCAAAAAAUAAUUUUAAUUCAGAAUAUGAAAGAGGAAAAUAUUUGAAAUUUUUUGGUGAAAGUCCCAUAUUUUUUGGAUCAAUAAAUUAAUAAUGAUCCAAAAAAUAAUUUUAAUUCAGAAUAUGAAAGAGGAAAAUAUUUGAAAUUUUUUGGUGAAAGUCCCAUAUUUUUUGGAUCAAUAUUAAAUUUAAUAUGAAUUAUUGAAAAUAAAGUAAUUAAAAUGAAUAUUAAAAUAUCAGAAAAAACGUGGACCACUUGAUCUCCCUCAUUAAUUAAGGUGGCAAAUUAAGUGGCCACCAACAUGCGUUCCAGCGUGCACUUAAGUCAGCGUGCCACACAACUGGUAUUCAAAAGGAACGCUCAUGAUUAGAUCAUUUUAAAAGGAUCCUAUGGCUCAGAACCAUCCAGCACACCACCGGCGGCCAAGGACCGGUUGUCUUCUCCGGCGAACCUCGCCGGACUGGUCCAGUCAUAACCAUCACCAAAAUUAAAAACAAGGACAUGAUUUCAAAGUAAAAAUGGCACUGAGUUCGAAUCUAGCCUCAAUUCACUCUAACUCCAAGUAUAUUGAGAGAUACAUGGAGUUGAAAUUUAAUGAUUUCAAAGUAAAAAUGGCACUGAGUUCGAAUCUAGCCUCAAUUCACUCUAACUCCAAGUAUAUUGAGAGAUACAUGGAGUUGAAAUUUGAGGUACAUGAACUGAGUUGCUUCGAUUUAGCCUCUAAGCAACUCAAUCUUCUUGCCUACAUUGGUAGGACUUCAGACAACCAAAGAAUCAAUAGAAUUGAGCAAGAAUUAGAGAGAAUCGGAGAGAUCAAAAUUUCUGAAAAAUACCUUCAAUGGAGGUCUGGAUUCAACUGAUCUUGUUCUUGCUCGUGCUUGAUCUCACUCCAAAUGCUUGCAGAAGAAGGAUUAAAUGCUCAAAAGGUUGUGGAUCGCUGGAGUUUUGAAUUUCAAAAUAGUGGAAAUUCAAACUCAAAUUCAAGUGAAUUUUUCAGGAUUAUCCUUUGCAAUGUGAGGGUUAGAGAUUGGGGAUCAAAGUUGGCGCUAAUGUGUGUCAAAUGUUGCGCAUAUGGGGCUCUAUUUAUAUCUGAAACCAUUGCUUUUUGCACACUUGAAAUCCACUUUCCAAAUUUGGUAUUGAUGAUGCAUGGGUGCAUGGGCGCGCAUAGGCCCAUAAAAUCAUUGCCCUAAGUCCACAAAUGAGUGUGAGAUAGAUCCAAAUUUGGUAUUGAUGAUGCAUGGGUGCAUGGGCGCGCAUAGGCCCAUAAAAUCAUUGCCCUAAGUCCACAAAUGAGUGUGAGAUAGUCUGAAUUCAACUUGGGUUGCAAGGCAAGUGUACAUGCAGAUUUGAAGUUCAAUCCUUGCCAAGCAAUGACACCAUGUUCAUGCCAUGCGCAGCCUAUGCAUUCCUUGUCCAAAAUAGAUGAAUUUGAGCUCUUUAGAAAGGUGAGAUUGAGAGGAAUAACUGUCAUGUUCAACACUUUUCCAUUUGGAGUUUGUAUCAUGAAUAAAUUUGAGGUGGAAGUUUGGAAAUUUUUGACAUAUCAAAAUUUUUCUAAGUGUCAAGCCAUGUGUCUCAAUGUUCCACCUUGCUUAACUUUUUAUAUGAGCUUCAAAUGAGAAAAGUGUCUUCAUAAAAGUUGUAUCUCUUUCAAAGACCUUCAAAAUGGUUAUCCAUUUCAUGUCAUUUGGAUUUGAAAUGAUAGAGUUAUGCAUUUUCGAAGUUUGGAAAAAUCACUUGAUCAAUGGUAUAGGUCAAAAGUGACCUAUAAUGUAACCUCAUAUCACAUGCUCAUAAAAGUUGAAUUAGCUCUCACUCCAAACAUAAAAGUUGAAUUAGACCUCUUGAAUUUGAUUUUGAAACUUGUAAAUCUUUCAUCUCAUAAAAAUUGAGCAAGUUAUUGCCUUGGGAAGUUGACUUUCAAAUUAGGGUUUAGACAAAAUGACCUAUAAUGUUUCAACAUAGAAAAUGAUUUACUUUCAUCUCAUAAAAAUUGAGCAAGUUAUUGCCUUGGGAAGUUGACUUUCAAAUUAGGGUUUAGACAAAAUGACCUAUAAUGUUUCAACAUAGAAAAUGAUUUUCCAAGCAAAACUAGCUCUAGGUAUAAACAUGAAAGUUGUUUGUAAUAUCAUUUAGAGUAAGUUUUCUCUUGGAAUAAUUUUCAUGUGGUGAAAAUUCUAGGAGAUAGGGUCUAGGGAGACCCAGUUUUGAUCAGAUGAAUUCAUCUGGCCAAGCACCAUCAACCAACUUGCUAAUCUUCAAUUCUCUUGACUUUCUAGGCUCAUGGUAGAUCAUAUAUGCAUAAUAUGAUUAAUUUUGAAGUGUACCUUGAGAAAUUUGAUCAAUUGGUGAGAUAUCUUGUUGGAGAAGUUACUCAAGAUACCCAGUCAAACUAGGGUUUCCAAGGCAAAUCACCCUCAAACUCUUGAAGAAAACUUGAGCAAUAUAACUUGUAGAGAACAUUGGGACUCAUAUAUGAUGCUUGUAACCAUUCUUGAAUCAAUCCAUGGUUGUGCUCUUUGUUCAUGAGGGUCUCAAACCCUAGAUGUGAACUUGAUGAAUCAAUGGGAUCAUGCCCAUCUUUGUUCAUGAGGGUCUCAAACCCUAGAUGUGAACUUGAUGAAUCAAUGGGAUCAUGCCCUUCCUACAAAAGAGUUAGGCAAAUACAAAGACAUAUUUUUGAUAUUUUGGUUAGUGAAAUGAUAAUAUAAAAGUAUGAUACAAUCACAAAGUGCUUGGUGAUCUCUCCCAAAACAAACCCAAUGAAAGAGGGGUAAGGAGGAUGCCAAGGUAUGUUCCCAUGCUAAUGCCUAUGAUGAAGUUGCAUGAGGGAUCUUAGGGUCAAAAUUAGGGUCUUACAAUAGGGUAUCAGUUUUCUGAUAUGCUCUUUGUAAGGUAUCAACUUGCUAUCCCGAGUCUCCUGAUCACCUUUCACCUGACUGAUUACCAGAGCUAAAUCAUUAUAUACCUUAAGAAUCUUGAUCUUUAAGUCGAUUGCCGCCACUAAACCGUAGAUACAUGCUUUAUAUUUUGCCAUGUUGUUGGUGCAGUCAAAAUACAAUCUAGCGAUAAAUGGCCUAUGCCAUGGCCUCGAGCAUUAGAAGCACCGUCGAACACGAGCAUCCAUCGUAAUCCUGGUUCGGGGCCUUCCUCAGGGCCUGCUUCAAAGCCUGGCAUGGUGAAGUCUCUGAUAAACAUGAUGUCCUCGUUAGGAAAGUCAAACCUCAAUGGUUGAUAACCUUUGACAGGUAGGUGAGCAAGGUAGUCAAACAUAACACUCCCUUUUAUUUUUUUCUGGGUCACAUACUGAAUAUCAUACUCGGUUAACAACAUUGUCCACAGGGCAAUUCUACCAGUAACAGCAGGCUUCUCGAAGAUGUACUUUAUCAGAUCCAUUUAGGAUAUCAAUAAAGUAGUAUGGAAAAUCAUAUAUAGUCUCAGGCGUCGAGCAACCCAAGUCAAAGCACAAUAAGUUUUCUCCAAAAGUGAGUAUCGGGUCUUACAUUCAGUGAAUUUCUUGCUGAGAUAGUAUAUAGCAUGUUCUUUCUUGCUUGUGUCAUCGUGUUGACCCAAAACACAACCCAUAGAUUCAUUGAGCAUUGUGAGGUACAUAAUGAGAGCCUAUCGGGAACCGAUGGUAUCAAGAUUGGUGGUUCUUGCAAGUACUUUUUUAUUUUAUCGAAUGUCGCCUGGCAAUCGUCGUUCCACACAAUCGAUUGAUUCUUUCUCAACAGUUUGAAUAUUGGUUCGCAGGUAGCCGUUAAAUGUGAUAUGAAUCUGGAGAUGUAAUUAACUCGCCCAAGGAAGCCUCAGACUUCUUUUUCUGUCCGGGGAGCUGGCAUUUCUUGGAUAGCUCGAACUUUGUCGGGGUCAACCUCAAUACCUUUCUAACUGACUAUGAAACCCAAGAGUUUACCGGAUCGGACCCCAAAAGUACAUUUAGUUGGAUUCAAACGUAACUUAAACUUUCGGAGUCUGAUAAACAAUUUCCUCAGGUCCACCAAGUGAUCUUUUUCAUUUUUGGAUUUGGCAAUCAUGUCGUCCACAUAAACCUCAAUCUCUUCAUGAAUCAUGUCGUGGAAGAGGGUUACCAUGGCACGCUGAUAUGUUUCCCCUGUGUUCUUCAAGCCAAAUGGCAUGACAUUGUAGCAUAGGUUCCCCAAGGUGUGAUGAGAGUUGUCUUCUCCAUAUCUUUUGGAGACAUCUUUAUCUGAUUGUACCCGGAGAACCCAUCCAUUAAAGAAAAGACGGAAAACUAAGUUGUAUUAUCAACCAAAACAUCAAUAUGAGGCAAAGGGAAGUCAUCCUUUGGACUCUCUCUAUUGAGGUCUCGAUACUCUACAGACAUUCUGACUUUACCAUCUUUCUUCAGAACUGGAACGAUAUUAGUAACCCACUGCGGAUAUUCAGAAAUGGCUAAGAAGCCAGCAUCAAGUUGAUUCUUAACCUCUUCUUUGAUCUUGAGGGCCAUGUCGGGUCUAGUCCUUCUGAGCUUCUGCUUGAUCGUAGGACAUUCAGGCUUGAGUGGCAGGUGAUGUUCAACAAUGCUGGUGUCUAAUCCUGGAAUAUCUUGAUACGACCAAGCGAAGACGUCAACAUAUUCACGCAAUAACUCCACCGACUCGGAGUGUACAUGCUCGGCGAGAGAUGCCCCAACUUCAACUUCUCUUUUGUUAGUUUUAGAACCCAAGUUAAUGACAUCCACUGGCUCUUUGUAUGGUUGAAUCUCCUUUUCUUCGUGCUCAAGGAGCCGUGCUAGUUCAGCUGGUAAUUCACAAUCUUUCUCACUGCCGUCUUCAGCUUGGUUGAUCAGAAAUCCAGAUUUACAGUUGAUUUUAGCCAUGUUGUAAUCAAUAGUUUUGUUUGCUCUACAUAUGAUGAGCUUAUUUUAGUAUGCAUUUUUUAGAAAAGUGGAAAAAGGAAAAAGGAAUCUUUUUCCAUUUUGUUGUUUUUUAGUGAAAAAGGAAAAUAACUGAAAGAAAAGGGAACACAAGUUUUGCAUGCAAAAAGUACUUUUUAUUUAUUCACAUAAUACUUUUAAACAUGGAGGCCCUUACAAGCUAUCAUCUCAUCUCGUGCGAGGAUGAGGGAUCAAGAAAAUAAAAUGCAUUACGUUUUUUCCGAGUACACUAUCGGAAUCACGAUGGACGUCCAAUUGGGAAGCUUGAAUCUUGGGGGACAUCUGCGAAUGAGGCUGGGUUCCCCUGGUUUGCUACUGCUGGACUCUCCAAUAACUGCCAUAGUAUGCUCAUUUUGAUAGUCAGCGUUGCUGAAUUUGAUCGGGUUGAACUGUUUUUUCUUCGGGCUCGCCUUGCGUGCUGUUGGGUGAUAACCGAUACCAAACAUGUCACGUUUCUCUGCCAUAUUGACGACUUUACCCCAACAGGGAAGUGGGCCUCUCUCCAAUGUCUGCUUGGCACUUUUCGCUGAGGAUAGGAUGGUAGCGGAAGAUUGGUUGUGAUUGGAAGUAGCGGAACCGACUUCUUCAAAUUCUAAACAAUGGAACGGAACUUCGAAGAUCCCUUCAUCUGUUUCAAAAUAUCUUAAAGAGGAGAGUUAACUGACCAACAGAUCUUCCUCACCACACACAAUUACCAGUUUGUCAUCAAUCAAGUACUUCAGCCUUUGGUGAAACGUAUAAGUGAUUUCCCCUGUGGCGUGAAUCCAUGGUCUGCACAACAAACAACUGUAAGUUGGGUUGAUAUCCAUGACUUGGAAGGUGAUGUUGAACUGGUGAGGUCCAACACAUAUAGUCAAAUCGACUUCCCUAAUAACCUACCUUCGGGAACCAUCGAAAGCUCGAAUGAUCAGUGCACUUGUCUUCAUCUCAGGCCCUUUAAACUGCAAUUGGCUUAAUGCAGAUUUUGGCAACAUAUUAAGUGAAGAACCAGUGUCAACGAGGACUCGAGAUAAAAGAGAGUCAAUUCAUGUGACCUAGAUGUGUAGUGCUUUGUUGUGGGCAUUUCCCUCAAGAGGUAGCUCUGCUUCAUUAAAUCCCAAAUGCCUAUUGGCAGUGAUAUUGGCAACCACGUCGUCAAAUUGAUCGACCGUGAUGUCUUGCAUCACAUGAGCGAAAUUUAGAACUUUCAGCAAUGCCUUGCGAUGAGCCUCAGAACUCAUUAGCAAAGACAACAUUAAUAUUUUGGAGGGAGUCUGAUUCAACUGGUCAACAAUUUUGAAAUCACUUUUCUUGAUCAAUUUGAGGAAUUCUUGGCUUUCCUCAAAAGUGAUGCUCUUCUUGUGAUCUUCAACUUGUUCUUUUUCAACCAUCGGCCCUUUACCCUUAGACGUUUCAGAUUCUGCAGCUUUAUCGUCAAUAACCUUCGUCAGCACUGAAGCAGUCGUCACGCUCGGAGCGGCAGGUACAAUUACCCCUGCCUACGGAGUCGGAGUAGGAAUGACCUUCUCUUUAAGCGGGAUAACUGUGGGUGCUGGAGACACCCUAGGAGUGUAUUUUGGGGCAAAUACAUGGCCACUCCGAGUCAUGCCUCCCGUUCCAGCAAUGUUGACGAUUUCUGUGUCAGGAAUGCAGAUUUCUUUUCCUCCCAAAUACAUUGUAGUCUCAUAAUUCCAAGGCACUGCCUUGGUAUCCUGAUACGGGAACAGAGUGGGAACACGGAAAUGAAUCGGCUGAGUCCUCUUAGGAGGAGCUUCAACCUUCUUCUUUCUGUACAUAAUUCCUAUUUGUUCAAUUACGGCCACCUCUUUUGUUGCUUUAGACUUGGAGAAUCGUAUCAACCCAAACUGUUCAAGCCUCUAUAACACAACUGACAUCGGAGUCUUCACCUCUUCAGCUCUUAGUAUAGACUCAACAUUUUCUUCUUCAAUCACAACGUUGACUGCUACGCCAGCGUGGUUUGGCAAGGGAUUAGUCUUUACGUUGGGCUUUUCCUCGGAGAAAUACAGGAUAUCUUGGACAAUCAACUCUUGGAUCCUCUUUUUGAGAGCCCAACAGUCUUCGGUGGAGUGUCCUAUGUACCCUGCAUGGAAAGCACAUGUGGCAUUAGGAUUGUGACUGCGAUUAAAGGGAGGAGAGGUUGCUAGGAGUUCUUUUGGUACGAUAGCCCCCACGUGGAUCAAAUACGACACCAACUCUACAUACGGUACCCGAAUCUUAUCAAAUUGGGGACGAUUACCAAAAUUGUUUCUAUUGUUCUGACCUCGAUUUUUUCCUUUGUCGUCACACUUGUAUUGUUGGUUCGGAUUUCUCUGAGCGGGCAUUGAUUGUUGAUUACAUUUAUGUGGUUGGUAUUGGAAUGACGAUUGUUGAUAUUGAGCUAAGGUGACGUAUGGAUACGGAUAAUACGACAUAGGGGCCAUCAAAAAUUGAUAUUGGGGGCGAGCACUCGCCGUCACAGUGUUUUCCUCCCCCUCCUUCUUCUUUGCGAAGCCCCCAUGCGGCCUCUUCUUUGAUGUUUGCGGUGCAGCCGUGUCUAUGAUUUUCCCCAAUCUCAGCCCAUUCUCUACACGCUCCCCAAUGGUUACCAUAUCAGCGAAAUUUGUUGACGAACUUCCGAUCAUCUUCUCAAAAUACAUCCCUUGUGUCGUACCCCAAUUUUGUCCGGGCAUUUUUAAUUUUUUCAAAAUUAAUUUCAGUUUUAUUUUUGCAUCAUACGCAUAGCAUGACAUACAUUUGCAUCAUGAAUAAACACCUAAAAUGUCAGUCAGAAGGAAUUUAUUUGAGAAUACAGAAAAAAUCGGUUGAAUCGUUAAAAUUUGAGAAAAGACUGUAUUUUUAAUAAGUAGGUUUUGUGCUGACAAUUUUAAUGUGACUGGUUUAUUUAUUAUUAUUAUUUUUUUUAUUUUUUUAUUUUCUUUCUUUUUUCGAAUUAAAUUUGUACUCGAUUUUUUUUAAUUGGUCAAAUAUUAGUUAGAGUUUUUUUUUAAAUAUUAUUUAAUUAAAUAUUAGUUAAUGUUUUUUAUAUUAAUUAGUUUUUUUAUAUUAGUUAGAUUUUUUCUAAAAUAGUAGUUAAUUUUAGUUUUUAAAUAUUAAUUAGUUUGUUUAGUUAGAUUUUGUAAAAUAUUAGUUAGAGUAUUUUUUUUUUAAUAUUAAUUAGUUUUUCUAAAUAUUAGUUAGUUUUUAAAUAUUAGUUAGAUUUUUCUUUUUAAUAUUAAUUAGUUUUUUUUAGUGUUAAUUAGUUUAAGAGUUAGUUAACUUUUUUAUUAGUUAAUUUUUAAAUAGUAGUUAGUUAGAGUUUUUAAAAUAUUAAUUAGUUUUUUUAUUUUUUAUGAAUAUAUGUAUUUUACAUUGGAUUCCAAUCCAUAAAAAAACAAAAAAAACAAAAUCUCCCAACGUCUCUCUCCAUCCACUCCCAACAGACCCUGCUCCACUACCUCUCCUCUCUCUCGUACCAGAAAAGACAAAAAAAGAAAAUAGAUAAAUGGGAACGUUACUCUCUCACUCUCAGACCACUAUUCACUCUCUCAAAAAAAAGACAAUCUCUCAAUUUCCUCUCAACUCUGAGCUCACACAAUCCCCUUCCUCUCUCGCCCCAAAUCUCUCACUCUCAAUUCUCAGCUGAAACUCUCACCGACAAACCCUCCUCUCUAAAAUCCGCCGCCACCACCUUCUACCACCACUAAACACUCACCAACCGUCAACCCUCCGAAUCCUUCAUCAUCUUCGUCAUCGCAACUCAACCGUUCACCGCCACCCAAAACCCCUACCGUCGCGGCGACUUCCACCUUCAAACCCUUAAACCACCUUCGAAACACCGUCAAAACCGCCGUCGCUCUCACCGGCAAACUCUCUCCAUCUACCUUCAAAUCGCGCCCUCACCGACAAACCCACACGAAACCUACUCAUCUCACAAUCUCCAAGCCGUCACCAUCCAUCAUCGCUUCCGUCCACAAUCGCGACCCAUCUUCACCGCUAAAACCUAAUCUCUAAAUCCGCCGUCAUCACCGUACCGAAGCCGUCGGUGACUUGUCAGUUCGCAACUAUCUUCGACCUUCAUCAACAGUUUGGGAUUGUGUUGUGUAAUUUUUCUGUUUUUUCAGGGAAAGUCUGAAGCUUUAGAGCCAUGGGUCCAGCACCGGUGACGAUUACAACUAGCCUCUGUUGAUAGCUUCAAAAGGAUUUUCUUAUGAUUCUGGAAACGGUUUCAAGUCGCGCUGAUUCCUCUUCUUCCGCAACAACCACAAAGACCGUUAUUACUCUACCACUCUCAGCACGGCGUCGAAACCGCUUCUUGUCCACAUUAAAGCAAGCCGGGCAGAUUGUUGAAACACCAUGGAUACGGGGAUUGGGUGGAAGAUCUCAGGCUGUUGCUGAUGAUGUACUCCUGAAAUAAGCUCUUGACAACUAUCCGUCUGUACGGUAACAGAUCGAUUUAAGCUUAUUUUAGAAUUAUGAUUGUUUCAUGACAGUAUUUGAUAUCUCUGGAUAAUGUGUGUGUUUGUGAUUUUUAUCUUCCGAUUCGUUCUGGUGGUAGAUGGUAUCAACAUAUUUUAUGCUGAAAAUUUCGUUGAGGAUUGUAAAUUUUUUCUCUGAAUAUUGUUACUCUGUGUCGUUACUGUUUCGUUUUGUGUUGAUACUACAAUAGCCCUGUAUAUAAUCACAAUUUGCGGUGACAUACUUUGAUACCAUUUUUAUUGUACAUAUUCAACUCUUGAUUAUGACUUGUUUUAGCUAUAUCAAAAGGAUUUGUUUUGUAUUGCCUGUGAAGUUUAUAGUUGCUUGUAGUAUCUCGUUCAUUUUUCAUUUGAAUUGAGAUUUGGAUUAUGAAUACCAACGUGCUUGCUUAUACACAACUUAUGCGACUUUCAGUUUGGAUUAUAUUUGGGAAGAUAUUUUAAGUGGGAACUGUAUUAAAAUUCUGCUCUUGAAUUAUUAGAUUAGUUUGUGGAUGGAUCACUAUUGUUGGUGCAAAUGAGUUAUUAGCCCACGGCAUUAUCAGAAUUCUAAUAAUCUCAUGAUUGGUUUACAACGAUUUUCUCAAAUGCAUGUUGUUUUUAUUGCUGAAAUUUAAAUUGGAUUAUCAAUUGCCUAAUGGACUUUAUAGUGUAUAUAUAAGUCUACUUUAAUCAUAAGGCAUNAGUUCCUUCCUUGAAAACACAAACUUUAGAACCUACCCUUGGGAAUUUCUAGUAAUCAGAAAAACCCGUAUUUCUUCCUGUUAUCCUGACGUACCCGACGUGUGAAUAAUCUUAAGUCUGUAUUCCUUUGCAAAAAACAUGGCAAAAUUUCAUGCAUUUGCAUAUCAUCAACAUGCAUUGCAUAUCAUCUCCCAGAAACAAAAUCUCACACCAUGUUCUGCCCUUUGUCCAGUAAACGCUGACUACUCGACACCGGUACGAGACACGCCGCAAUUACAAGAUGACACUUGAACAGCUUGAAGCUAACCAAGUUUCGAUGAGGACCGACAUUGACUCCAUGCAGGCAAAGAUGGAUCGCUUGCUUGAGACCAUGUUACUCUUGGCUCAGAAGGAGAAGGAUGCUGAGACUAACGCCGAAGCCAGGAAAAUUGCUGCCCAAUUUGGAUCACCAUCGCUCAGUAUCCCUGGAGUGAUUGACCUUGAUGGUAACCCUAAUCAGCCUAGAGAAGGACCGAUCCCUAUUCCGAUCCCAAUGGACAAUAUAAAACCCCACGAGCAUUCUACUGUAUCUGCUCGACACGGAUCUGUGAUAUGUGAUGAAGAUCCAUAUGACGCUUUCUUCAUGCCACAGCCCGUCCAGCCUGCUGUUGGAGGUCUCCCAGACCCAGCUGUUGACAGACUCCAUGCGUUGGAGGAAAAGUUUAAGUCCUUGGAGGUUCACACUACUCCCGGUUUGGACGCCGUCGAUAUGUGCUUGGUGCCAGGCCUUGUGAUUCCACAGAAGUUCAAAGUCCCGGACUUUGACAAGUACAAAGGGAUCAGCUGCCCAAGAACACACCUCAGAGCUUACUGCCGCAAAAUGGCCGCCCACAUCAGUAAUGAUCAACUCCUGAUUCAUUACUUCCAAGAUAGUCUCAGUGGGGCAUCUUUGGAGUGGUACAUGCAACUGGAGAGAGGACAGGUCCAAUCAUGGAGAGACCUUGCUGAAGCAUUCCUCAGGCAUUAUCAGUACAACACUGAUCUAGCACCCAAUCGCACCCAACUGCAAGACAUGACUCAACGCAACAAUGAGUCAUUCAAAGAAUACGCCCAGCGGUGGAGAGAGCUAGCAGCUCGUGUUCAACCUCCUCUCUUUGACAAAGAGCUAAUUGACAUGUUUAUGGGAACCCUACACACCCAGUACAUGGAGAAGAUGGUAGGAUCCAGUUUCCCAACUUUUGCUGAGGUCGUCUCCGUGGGAGAACGAAUCGAGAGCCAGAUCAAGAAGGGGAAACUACCUUGCGCUGCUAAUGCUUCAAGUGGGAUGAAGAAACCUUAUCCUAAUCUCCCAAAGAAGCCAGAAGGUCAAACCAAUUCCAUAAUGGGAGGAGGAGGAUAUAGGGCACGCCCGUAUGCUCCUAUGCCUUAUAAUCAGGUUGCCGCUGUCGUCCCGACACCAUAUCAGCCUCCAUAUCAGCAACCCCAUCAACAACAAUAUCAACAGCCUUAUCAACAAACAGCUUAUCAGCAUCAGAAUCAACAUCGACGUGCUCCACAACCACGUCCCCCCAAUCAGCAGAGGGCAAGGAGGCCAGAAAGGCAUUUCGAUCCUUUGCCAGUAUCAUAUAGCAAGAUCCUCCCCUACCUGCUAAAGGAUGGAUCGGUCGUUCUGAAGGAGAUAACACCUGUAACUCCACCAUAUCCUCCAGGCUACGACGCCAAUGCUCACUGUGAGUAUCACAUGGGUGCUCCAGGGCACACAAUAGAGAACUGUAAGGCUUUCAAGCACAAGGUUCAAGAUUUGGUUGACAGUAAAGCACUUACAUUCACGCCAGUGAGGCCAAACGUUGCAACAAACCCCAUGCCGGCGCAUGCAGAAUCAAGUGAAGCUCGAAGGUAAAGCUUCCCACCGGCCUAAACAAGCAGAGCAAUUCCGCUGAAGAACCCAGAGAUGAAGGCUUGUUCAUUUGAAUGAAGGCAAUCCUGAUGCCAUUUUUACCAUUUUGCAUUCUUGUAAUUUGAUCUUGUUUGUCUAAGUACUGUACGCUUUAAACAUUGUUAUUUGUAUUUGGUUUUGUUAAUGGGAUGGUUAUGCAUGCUUUGAAUCAAUCUUUCNGGAUGAAACCCUGCUGAUGAUGUACAGGCAUUGUUUCAAAUCCCCAAACACUGGAGAGAUAAGGAGUUAAUCCCUAGUCAACCACUUCGAGCCUAGAAGUAGGAGUUUCUUUCAGAUCUAAAAAACCUUUACGCUUAACCUGGGGCAGGGUAGUGUUCAGUUAACCUGACUACACAUACAAAUUACAAAGGUGAAGUAUCCCAUACGAGGAUCAACCAUAUGACACUCUUCACACACAUCAUGAAGUGUCGAAGGAACCAUACAAAUCCAGAAUCUAUGUCGGUUGUUCUUCAAUGACCAAUGUCCUGGCAGUCACAAUUAAAAAAAAGGUCGAAGAAAGAGCCCGCUAAGUCGAACACCCUAAAAGGAGACUUAGGCAAAAAACAGGGGCAAUCCCGAUGGAUUAAAGCUUCAAACAAAGCGGUCCAUGCAAAAGUUAGGGAUCAAAACAAAAAAUCGAAAGAGACAAUGAAAGUCCUCAACAAAAGCAAAACAAGAUUCAGUGACCACCAUACCAAAAUCAAAGGGUCGCCGACAUCCAAAAAAACGAAAUAAGGUGGCUGCCAUUCCAAGGGACUUUGAACCACCAUCUUUAUCCUUACACAUGCAAGAGAAGAAUGUGUGUGAAUUAACUGAACAUAGGAUUGGAGAUCAUCAUGAAGAAGGGGUGGGUUAAAAUAAACUUUGAGCCUUAUAUCCUUUUGUUUCAAAACCAUCGACCAACACAGCAACGCCUCAAAAGACCAAGUUGAGUAGUGGUUUAUUCUGAAAGCAUACAUACAAGUUAGUAACUGACUCCUAAAUAUUUUCCAAUAUUCUCCUCUCACUAUAUCACUCACACACUAGCUAAAUCAAGCACCGCGUUUGGACACAUGAUCCACUCGCCACACACUACCACAACACUUCCCAAAUGAAUGAUUAUUUUUCAAAACUUGCAUAACUGUUGCAUUAACAUCACCAUUUCGUAGAUAACAAUUCUUAAUUGUCAGUCAGUGCUUGACAUCGGAAAAUUCCAACAAGGAGUAAUUCAACGGGCACUUGAUUGUUGGUGCUGACACGAAUCCAGACCAUCCUGUGAAUCAGGGGCAUGGCAUCUUUUGAUCAUAUUGACCUAAGAAGUAGUCUGUGUAAGACAAAUCUCCAAGCAUCGGUUGAUCAGGGAGAAAAACACUUCAGUACUCGGCCCGUCUGAAGCAGGUCCCUCAAAGGCUAAUCAGGGGCAGACCAUAGCCAGAUUUGGACAUCAGGAAACAAACUCAGACCAUGUCAUGGGAUAAUCACUCCUAAGGUUUCUUGCAGGGAGAAUUCCUUUGAACACCCUACAAACAGGGGCAAGACAAGUUGCAAGGGGCAAAAUUCCCUUCAUAUCUUCAAGACAGUCAGGCAGAUUGCGUCAAACAUUAGUGACUGCUUGAAUUCACAACCAAAAUGUCAAAAGUUCGUACCAGUACAACAUCAUGCCUUGACAAGAAUCCUUGAGGCACGUCAAAAGCACAAUCAUCAUGCGCUGAUCACGUCGCUAUGCUCAGUUACAAGCUGGCCAAACACUUCAGAAGAAGAAACCAAGAUCUUCUCAAAGACAAAUACUCAACAUAUCAGCAAGAGAUCAAACCUGGGGCACCAAGAGUAUCCACAUCCAUUUCGUGUUCAUCAUAUCAUCAACUACUGAGUGUCGGGAAUGUCAGAUCCUUUCACCAAUCAAUAGCAUAUCCACAUUGACAAUUACCAAAAAAACCUAAAGCCCACAUUGUUGGCACCCACAUAAAACCAAAUAUAACCAACUUUGGUUUCCAGAAGAUGCAUUGCCUUUGAAAGGGGGGCCAAUCCCAAACAAACCAAUCAUUCUUUGCAUACAAACAUGCAUUUCAUGCAUCAUAUGCAUCACCUCAUACAUAAUACAUACAUAUCAUUCAUGUACAUAACACAAAUCAAGAUCCAAGGUUUAGUCGUAGGCAUACAGGCCAACCCUCAGUUGAGUCGUUAUUUUUCUCUGAGUGAGUUCCUACCCUACUAUCGGGCGUUCCCCAUUGAGUUACAUCCUUCAACCUUUUGUUGAUAAGAUGUUAUCCUCAGCUUAGUCAAACAAUGUUUCUUUAAACACCUAUUUUUUUUUUCACGUUGAGCGUCCCUCAAUGAGUCGUUUCCCAUAACCUUUUGUUGACAGAAAUUACAUCUCCCCAGAGAACAUUGGCUCUGCAACCUUUUGUUGUUGAUACCCCCAAGCAAGUCUUACCCAAUAAUGUCCCAAUACUACCCAACAAAUCGGGUUUACUGGACUUUGACAGUAGCCUUAUUUUUCCAAUAUUUUUCUCACUACCAUCCUUUUGGUGAAAGUCCAUGGAGGAAUAAUACCAGUCAUCACCUUGUUUAUGAUCACCGUUAUCCUUUUGGUAAUGGUAAAUUCUUGACAUUUGUGAUCUUACUGUCAUCCUUUUGGUGUCGAAGAUCAUUGAAGUUUUAAGCUAACCUUCAUCCUUUUGAAUCACCUUGUUUAUGAUCACCGUUAUCCUUUUGGUAAUGGUAAAUUCUUGACAUUUGUGAUCUUACUGUCAUCCUUUUGGUGUCGAAGAUCAUUGAAGUUUUAAGCUAACCUUCAUCCUUUUGGUGAUGGUGACCUCUGCAAUUAUUACACCCCACUGUCAUCCUUUUGGUGUCAGUAAUAUUUGAAGUCAUUAUAACUUAUUAUCAUCCUUUUGGUGGUAACGAGUUUCGAAGUUAUGAUUCCACCUUCAUCCUUUUGGUGAUGGUGAUUGUUGAUUCAUUAUCAUCCUUUUGGUGAUAACGAGUUCUGUUGUUUGUAGCGCCUUCAUCCUUUUGGUGAUGGUGACUAUUGACUUAUUAUCAUCCUUUUGGUGGUAACAAGUUUUGUCGUUUUAACAAUACCUUCAUCCUUUUGGUGAUGGUGAGUGUUGACUUCUUAUCAUCCUUUUGGUGAUAACAAGUUUGUGUCUUGAUCUUACCUUCAUCCUUUUGGUGAUGGCGAUCAUUUGUGUUGUCAGCUUAUUAUCAUCCUUUUGGUGGUAACUAAGUUUUGUCGUUUGACAAAUACCUUCAUCCUUUUGGUGAUGGUGAUUGUUGACUUCUUAUCAUCCUUUUGGUGAUAACAAGUUUGUGUUUUGAUCUUACCUUCAUCCUUUUGGUGAUGGUGAUCAUUUGCGUGUGUGCUUCUUAUCAUCCUUUUGGUGGUAACAAGUUUUAUCUUUUGAUUAUACCUUCAUCCUUUUGGUGAUGGUGGUUAUCAUCCUUUUGGUGAUAACAAGUUUGUGUCUUGAUCCUACCUUCAUCCUUUUGGUGAUGGUGAUCAAUUGUGUUGUGUUCUUAUUAUCAUCCUUUUGGUGAUAACAAGUUUGUGUCCUGAUUAUACCUUCAUCCUUUUGGUGAUGGUGAUUAUUGAAGUUAUCUGACUUAUUAUCAUCCUUUUGGUGAUAACAAGCUUUGUUGUUGGAUCUUACCUUCAUCCUUUUGGUGACGGUGAUCUUUGAAGUUUAUGAGUUAACUAUCAUCCUUUUGGUGAUAGCCUUGAUCCUAUACUCUCAGUAAUGGAAAAAUUUACCAGAAUGACCAUCAUCCUUUUGGUGAUAGAAAUCUGUGAAUUGUGUCUAACUUUCAUCCUUUAGGUGAUAGCGAGAUUUGUUGUUGAUCUGACCAUCAUCCUUUUGGUGAUGGCGAUCUUUGUUGCACCCACUGUAACCAUUAUCCUUUUGGUGAUGACUACCUUAAAAGCUCAGCUUAUCCAUCAUCCUUUUGGUGAUGACAAUCCUCAAAAUCAUGGUGAAUCUCUGUCAUCCUUUUGGUGUCAGAAAACCAGUCCCACCUUUGUCUUCACAUCAGAAAUAACCUGUGCCAGAUUUGAAUGUUGACUCGAGGGUUGGCAUUGAUCGAACAUCCUACCCCCAUUACCUUGGCAUCCAUUGCAUUUUCAUCUGCAUCUCUCCAUUGCAUUUCAAAGGACAAAAUUUGGAUCCUUUAGUAUUUAAUUACCUUCCACCACGAAUGUAUGAUGACCUUUAUCAUUCUUACUUUCUAGUUCAAGAUAAUUAAAUAGGGGCAGCUGUCGUACCCCAAUUUUGUCCGGGCAUUUUUAAUUUUUUCAAAAUUAAUUUCAGUUUCAUUUUUGCAUCAUACGCAUAGCAUGACAUACAUUUGCAUCAUGAAUAAACACCUAAAAUGUCAGUCAGAAGGAAUUUAUUUGAGAAUACAGAAAAAAUCGGUUGAAUCGUUAAAAUUUGAGAAAAGACUGUAUUUUUAAUAAGUAGGUUUUGUGCUGACAAUUUUAAUGUGACUGGUUUAUUUAUUAUUAUUAUUUUUUUUAUUUUUUUAUUUUCUUUCUUUUUUCGAAUUAAAUUUGUACUCGAUUUUUUUUAAUUGGUCAAAUAUUAGUUAGAGUUUUUUUUUAAAUAUUAUUUAAUUAAAUAUUAGUUAAUGUUUUUUAUAUUAAUUAGUUUUUUUAUAUUAGUUAGAUUUUUUCUAAAAUAGUAGUUAAUUUUAGUUUUUAAAUAUUAAUUAGUUUGUUUAGUUAGAUUUUGUAAAAUAUUAGUUAGAGUAUUUUUUUUUUAAUAUUAAUUAGUUUUUCUAAAUAUUAGUUAGUUUUUAAAUAUUAGUUAGAUUUUUCUUUUUAAUAUUAAUUAGUUUUUUUUAGUGUUAAUUAGUUUAAGAGUUAGUUAGCUUUUUUAUUAGUUAAUUUUUAAAUAGUAGUUAGUUAGAGUUUUUAAAAUAUUAAUUAGUUUUUUUAUUUUUUAUGAAUAUAUGUAUUUUACAUUGGAUUCCAAUCCAUAAAAAAACAAAAAAAACAAAAUCUCCCAACGUCUCUCUCCAUCCACUCCCAACAGACCCUGCUCCACUACCUCUCCUCUCUCUCGUACCAGAAAAGACAAAAAAAGAAAAUAGAUAAAUGGGAACGUUACUCUCUCACUCUCAGACCACUAUUCACUCUCUCAAAAAAAAGACAAUCUCUCAAUUUCCUCUCAACUCUGAGCUCACACAAUCCCCUUCCUCUCUCGCCCCAAAUCUCUCACUCUCAAUUCUCAGCUGAAACUCUCACCGACAAACCCUCCUCUCUAAAAUCCGCCGCCACCACCUUCUACCACCACUAAACACUCACCAACCGUCAACCCUCCGAAUCCUUCAUCAUCUUCGUCAUCGCAACUCAACCGUUCACCGCCACCCAAAACCCCUACCGUCGCGGCGACUUCCACCUUCAAACCCUUAAACCACCUUCGAAACACCGUCAAAACCGCCGUCGCUCUCACCGGCAAACUCUCUCCAUCUACCUUCAAAUCGCGCCCUCACCGACAAACCCACACGAAACCUACUCAUCUCACAAUCUCCAAGCCGUCACCAUCCAUCAUCGCUUCCGUCCACAAUCGCGACCCAUCUUCACCGCUAAAACCUAAUCUCUAAAUCCGCCGUCAUCACCGUACCGAAGCCGUCGGUGACUUGUCAGUUCGCAACUAUCUUCGACCUUCAUCAACAGUUUGGGAUUGUGUUGUGUAAUUUUUCUGUUUUUUCAGGGAAAGUCUGAAGCUUUAGAGCCAUGGGUCCAGCACCGGUGACGAUUACAACUAGCCUCUGUUGAUAGCUUCAAAAGGAUUUUCUU